AAAAAAAAAAAAAAAAGAAGUUAGCUUUCUAAUUUACUAGUCAAAUAUUCUCAAGAUCCAUAAGAUUAAUAACUUGUUACACAUAUGUAUGAACAUACGAAGACAAAAAGCAAAGGACAUGUGUGCAACAGUAUGCUUUACCCAGAUCAUAUCAAUCCAGAAGAAGAAGUGUACUAAAUCCGACUCAUCCAGCCUUCGAUGGUGACCCUUCAUCAGAAACACGAUUAAUAUUCACCUAGAAGAGUUGCUUUCUUGAUGAUGGACUUGCAACUUGCAACUAACCAAUUGUGUCUUCUGCGUCCAACACAAUUUUAAUGCAAACUAAACUUGUUCUGAUUUGUAAGUUGUAACCAAGUCUUCUGUAAGUUGGGAUCUAUGAUUAGUCAUUUCUUCCGGGCAACCUUUUAUGUCAAAUAAUCCCAAAGAAAACCUUUUAAUAGCCCUUGUUUUUGGUUACCACUUACACUUGACAUGUGUCUAAAAUCAUCUCAUUUAGAGUGUAAUAUAAGAGUAUAAAGGAUUUAUCUAUUUGGUAGAUAUUAUACUGAAUCUUCUUUCCCUUGUUAUGAAAGAAAGAAGCAGGGAUACUGUAUCUGAAUUUGUUCCAAGGAACAAAUUUUGUUUUUAAUUUCUAUCUUUUGGGCAAAAGCUACAGGUUUAGAAAAUCAACAAGCCCCUAAAAAAAUAACUUUUAAAAGCAAAAAAAAAAAAAUUGAAAAUUUGAACUCGCAAAUGGUAGAACACAUCCUAACAUAACAUUUUUUCUUUACUUUAUGAGGAAAAAUAAAAGCCAAAUAUAAUACUAGUCCAUUAUAUGCGCACCAGAUUUGACUCAAAACCACCAUAAUCCUCAGUUCUUUUUCCUUUUCCACGAUUAAAGAUUCCUAAAAAUAGUUAUAUUUAGUAAAAUGAGACCAGAUUUUUACUCUGGGGUGCAUGGAUGGAAAUAGGAGAGGGCAAGGAGGGACCAGCUCCCCCAAGUUUCAAAAAAUUGAAAAUUUCAACUAUAUUCUUUGUAAAUUUAAACUUUUACCCUAACAGUUUGAGAAUAUGUUAGGUUAUACUUAAGUUUUAGAUAUAUUAAAUUUCACUCCCCGAAAUAAAUUUUCUCAUUCUAUCUAUGCUCGGGUCAAGAAUCUUUAAACUUAAAAUAGGCAAUCGCAGUCCACAGUGGGGGAAUGUUGAUUCAUAACAAUAUUUCCUUUUCAUUAAUUAGGCCAAACAAUUAGCUUAAUCUCAUUUUAUUCCAAAGUUUAAACCAAUUUACCCUAAAAAUUAAGUAAAAUUACACCGACAUCCCAGUUUCAUUAUAAUUACAAAUACCUUGCUCUAAUCUUUAAAAUCACAACAACAUUCAAAUCUAGUUCGUUACGCCUAAAUAUGUACAUCUAUAGCCACAAUCAUCCUUGUGAGCAUUCAAGACAAAAGUGGUGGUUGAAAUCAUAAUAAAGGAAAAUGAGAGAGUUAAAGGUAAUUUGAAAAAGAAAACUGCGAAGUCAAAGUAAUAUUGGAAAGAAAGCAAACGUCUUCUUAAUUGUUGUUAUCGACUUAUCUUCAAAAUUGCAAGGAAAAUAUUGGUUCCUUAUGAUUUUGGUCUUUGGAGCUGUUUUAAGGAAAAUAUUGAAAUUUUUUAUUGAAAAUUUUGAUGGCAUCUUUAGAGAAAAAACUUUUUAGGUACCUAAAAAGUUGUUUUUCUCUAAAACAGUUUUUUAUAUUUUUUUGUUUUUUUUUUCAAGUUUAAAGUAAGGUAGAAGUAUAUACCAAAAGGAAAAGAGAACACCUUAAAACAACCUCUUCAUUUUAAUUGGAAAAUAUGUAUGAGUUUGUUCUUCUCAAGUACCCGCUUGUGGGAUACCUGGUGAAUUGCGGAGAGAAAAAUGGUCAAAAAAAUUACUGAUUUGACAGGUGCGUGCAGUUUAGUCACACCUCUUGAGGAGCAGAUACCUAAUUCAUGCCGAUCCUUAAAAAUAUCGAAAAUAGGGGCACAAACAUUUUUAACAAUUUUAUAAUAGAGAUAUUAUAUUCGGAUAUUAUUUACGUCAACCUUUAUAUGUUUAAUUUGUUAUUUCACAGUUAGUUAUAUGGAUCUUUCCUGAUUCAUAAAUUUUUAAGUCUCAGCCUUGUUAAUCCUUCUUGAACCAUUUAUCGUUUGGGACAGUUGUUACUAAGAAUCAUCCUGCCAUUUGUUCUGAAAACUAAAGAUCAUGUAGUUAUAAAUUAUUUAUCAAACUAUAUAUAAAAGAUUUUAUUUUUGUAAAUGCAUAGCUCCAAUUUCUUUUGAAACUCUUAUAUAUAAUGAUAGAAAUUAGGAAUUUCGACGGUCAAAGUACCUGUAAAUCGGCAAACUACUAAAAAGAUUUUAUUUUUGUAAAUACAUGGCUCCAAAAAUUUUUCCCAUUUUUUAUAUAUAACGAUAGAAAUUAGGGAUUUGGACGGUCUAAUUACCUAUAAAUCAGCAUAUUAUAGAAACCCAAUAAAACAAAAAAUAGUAACUGAGUACAAUUAUUGUGGACACGACAUUUGAUAUAAAGUUGGAUUAGAUGGUAAGGGGAGAUGAAUUAUAAGUGGGAGGUCGUGGAUUCCAAACAUUCAACUUACGGAAAAAAGGAACACUAUUAAAAAAAAAAAACUUAGCUCAUUCCAAUUAUAUAGUAUAGGGACAUAGUUAAAUUAUGUGGGGCCGUAGAAAAAAUUUUCCAAUUAAUACUAUAUAUUUACUUCUUAUUGGAAAAAUAAAUGGGAAAUACAAUGCCUUUCAUUUAAGCAAACAUUGUCUUAGUAGUACAUAGACCUACUACUAUGUAUUUUGUGAAUAGAAUAGCAUUACUAAAACAUUUAUACAUUUGUUAUAUGUAAGGCACUAUGUAAUCCCAUUUCAUAUGUGAGGAAUUAAAAAAGAAAUUUUCAAAAUGUAAGGGACCACUUUAGUAAUUUUUUCAAAAAGUUCCUUUGCUCAAUUUCUUUCCAGCUGAAGUGAAAUUGCAAGUUUUCUUUCAUCAGUCACUAUUUUGUUGAAUAGUUUCUGAGCAAUUUGAUUCCAACAAUCCAAUUGACUAUAAAUGAUUCGACGCUCUUUAAGAAACUAGCCAUUUUAUGCAUGUAUACUCGAAGUUGUAGUUUUGACUAGAGGUGUCAAAAUAGGUGAUUUGGAUGGGUUUCGGUUGUAUAAAAUGGGUAAUGGGUAUAAGUGAGUCAAUCCAUUUAUAUCCAUUUAAUUAGAUGAAUAUAAAUGGGUAAGUCAAAAAAUAAAUUGGGUAACCCAAUUAUCCAUUUAUAACCCAUUUAUUUUAACUUUUUAUAAACUCAUUUAAAUUUAUUUUUGCAAACUAAAUUAUCAAUUUAUACCACUUUUUGAACCCAUUAUUAGUUUUAAAUAUUUACUUAUAAUGUUCAAUAAGUCUAAUUACCAAUUUUUUUUCCAUCUGUGCUCUAUGUUGUCAAAUUACAUACUAUUUAAUAAUUGAAUAAUAAAAAUAUAAAAAUUUGAACUAAGUACUAUAAAAGUUAACAUAAAAACUUAAUCCAAAAAUUUUGAACCCCUAACAUUUUUUCAUGUGUAAAUUUAAAAUUUCAUUUUGGAAAGGUAGGAAAAGAGGCUAAAACUUAUCAAAAAUUGGUAAUUCUGAAAAAUAUGCACGUUAACAAACUAAGAGAAAAUAAAAUGAUAAGAUAAAACCAACAAAUAAUAAUAAUAAUAAUAAUAAUAAUACUAAAACAAAAGUAGUUAAUAUCAUGACAAAAAUGAAAAAUCUGAAAAAAAAAAAGGGGUGGGGGAAGAGAGGAUAUUUGGGGGAAAACAAUUCUAAAUAGGUAAAUUAGAUUUGAUGAGUUACCCAAUAAUAUUCACUUAAUAAAUGGGUAUUAUUGGGUAACCUAUUUAUACCCAUUUGUAAAAAAUUUAAGAUAUCCAUACCCAUCUAUUUAUGAACGGGUAUGGAUAAAUUUAGUUAAAUGGGUUGGUUUGCCACCUAUAAUUUUGACCAAAGAAACACGAAAGCUCUAUUUGACAAGAUUUGAUAACUCUUUGCCUCAUGAUUCAUGUGGUGCCACUUUUUCUUUUCUAUUGUGGACUUCAGUUGUAGUACUUCACUAGUGUGAAUACCCGUGCUACGCACGGUGCUAACAUUAUUGAAAAAAAUAAAAAUAAAAUGGUGAACAAAUAAAAGUGAAAAAAUUGAACCAACAAAAUUAAAAUGUAAUAUCUGUUUAACAAUAGUUUGAAAUAUAAUAGAAUGUGUAUAUCAUUCAAGAACUGUCUUUUUUUGGAAGAUGGAUCCUAAAAAAAAAUAAAAAUUUAUAUUAAAAAAGGGAAUGAUAUAUUUCUACAAAUAAAUGUAAUUGAAUGUUGUUAAAAUGAAAUACUUACAAAUACUAAGCAUUCGAUUUGAUAAUCUUACUUGAAGGUGCGAACACUCUUCACACCAAUCCACUUUUAGUACGAAAGUCAAAAUUGAUGAUUUAAUUAACUCUGUUGAAUUUUGUGGAGUGCGUAUUAUAAAUGAAAAUACACGAUCUUUGCAUAAAUUAAUUCAUUGGCUGAACAACCUAUCACCAUUUUCCUGAUAAUUAAGAACGUACGAAAUUAGUGUAUUUUUUAUAUAGUUUAUAAAUAGUACUAUAAAAAAUAAAUAUAUAUUAAGAAAUUCUAUUUUCCUUUGUAAUUCUCUGAGAUAAGAAGCAUCACAACCAAAUACAAAUCAUGCAUGUAUGUCUUGUAGAUUAAGAUGCAUGUUACCACUGGAAUCUCUGAUUUGUAUGUUAACAUUGUAACUGUUUGAUAAAUAAAAUAUUAUAUGCAAUACAGAAAAAUAUAUUGAAGUUAAAUAUACAUGAAAUUAAUUACCUGAUAACAGUGUCAACCGCGUCAUUACAAUGCAUACACACUGUCUUUGAAAAAUGACCUUCACAUAAUUGUCCACAAUUUUUGCAUAGCUCGUAGAACAUAUUUUCUAUGUUAAUGCUCUGAAUGUAAGUAUUCGAAAAUAUUUAACCUAAUAAGAAUGAAAAAAAGGUAUAGGUUAUAAUUAUAAAUUAAAAAAAUUCAUUCAGUAAUUAAUUAAAAUUGAGUAAGCUUACCGUAGGCAUAAUUGUAUAUUCAGAUAUCCAUAUUCUCUUUGAAUUUGCUAUAAACAGUGCUUGUGGUGUUGUGAAAUUGCUUGAUUUUAACCACGUAACUAGGACUGUGCAUCGAAAUCGAAAUCGGUAAAUCGGAAGUUUGAAAUCGGAAUUUUUCGAAUUUUUGACUUGAAUUUUCCCGACCGAAUUCGAUUUCGAAAUGGUCAAUUCCGAUUUUCAAAUUCGUACCGAAUUGAUUUCGGAAUUCGGUGAACUCCGAAUUCACCGAAUUUCCUUUUUUUUUUUUCCUCUCUUGCUCAAAAACGGAAAAACCUCUUCUGCUCACCACAACCAUAACCUCCACCGCCACUGCCAAGGCCAUUGAAUCUUACAAGCAAUACCCUCUUGCUCUUCUUCCACCCAUCUUCUCCGAUAAAAGUCCCAUCUUUAAUCCUGUUGACUAUCAAAAAUGUCAAUUUCCUCUCAGAAACUCCUGUUUUCAAUCAAUAUUUAUAUACCAAUCGAAUCUUUCUUCUUGAAAGAUUGCGAAUGGUGAUGGGCUCCGAUACUUUCAAUCCCAGAAGCCUCUGCUUCCUCAAACAAUCAUGGGGCGGAAAGUUUAAGGCAGAGAAAUUAGUGGAAAUCUGAAGAAAUGAUGUCAUGGCACCUGCUACCGCAUUAAUUUAAGGUGAUUCCUACACAGUCGACACCUCCAAGCUCUAGCAACCCAGAAAAGAAAAAAAGGGGGCGGAAGAGUUUGAUGCAGGAACAAAAAGGGGGCGCGUACAUCAAUUUGUCCUUGAAGAUGAAGACUGACGAUGGCUUGAAGAUGAAGAGUGAAGAUGUCUGUCGGGCUUGAAGGUGAGAGACGAUGAUGGCGGAGGAAGGCAGAGGAGGGCGUGAAGAUGGCUUGAAGGUGAGACGGAAUCAGGCGGUGGAGGCGGAGGAAUGAAGGUGAGAGACAAUGAGGAAGAGGCGGCGGAAGAAUACAGAAGUGUUAACAGAUUAGGGUUUUUGUAAUUACAAUUGUUAGAUAUAUUAUUGUUAUUAACUUAUUAUGUUAUAUAAUAUAUAUUAUAUAUGUAUUGUUAAAAAAUAAAAACUAUUAUAUUCAUAGUUAUUAAACCCGGCCCGGCCCGGCGGUCGAACCGGUCAAACCGGUGGACCGGUCAUUGGACCGGGCCGGGUUUGGAAUCAGAUCGUUUGUGCACAGAGACCGUUGACUUAGUCAACGGCCCGGCGGUCGAACCGGGUUAAACCGGAAACCCGGCCGGUUUUGGCCGGUUUUGUCACUAACCGGAUUUUGUGGAAAAAUUAUAUUGCUAUUGUUGGGACUCGAACUUCCGACCUUUGCCCUCACACUACCGCUUGCUUACCACCAAACCACUUCCAAAUAUGUUGAUAUAGUAGCUUUAGUAUGAUAUAUAAAUGUUUUUUCAAUUCUAUCUUUUUUUCUCUAAAACAAAUUUAUUUGGAAUCUUUUAAUAAAAAUUUAUUACCCUCCAAACUCUAUAAGUUAUAAAAUGGAUUCCAAAAAUAACAUAUUACAUAAUUCAUUUAAAGACAAAUAUUAUUUUUAAUAAAUUUUUACACUUAAAAUUCAUAAAUAAGCUAGAUAAUUACACUAAAUAUAGAUAAAAUUUUACACUUGAAAUUUGGUAUAUUAAUAAAUAACUUUAUAUUUGAUUGAUUCUUAUAUGAAUUAAUUAUUUUAUAACAAAUUAAAUUAAAUGAGCUUUUGUUAUGACAUUAUUUAUUACAAUUUAUAUCAUAUAUCUUAUAUAAAUAAUUAUGAAAUAUAAUAUUUAAAUAUAUGUAGUGACCCACCGGUUCAACCACUCACCCACCGGUUCAACCAGUAACCCGUUGACCCACCUCCUUCGCCGGGUUCCUUCCCGGGUUGGGUUUAAUAACUAUGAUUAUAUUAUAUGUAAAUAUUAUUAUUCGAAAUCGAAAUACCAUUUCCGUUUUCGAAUUCCUAUUUCGAAUUUCCCAAUUCGAAUUCGGUAAUUCCGAUUUCAAAAAAUAUAUUUUCGAAUUCGACCCGAUUUCGACUAAUUCGAAAUCGGAAAUACCGAAUUCAGUUCCGAAAUUCCGAAUUCAAUUCGAAAUCGGUCUCGAAAUCGAAAUUUUUCGACUUUGCACACCCCUACACGUAACUAACUUGCGGGCACAUGUACUAUUUUCAAACCUGCAAUUUUUUUGAAAUAAAUGUCAAUAAGAGUACGAAACAAUAUUAAUAGUUUGAUAUAGUGUUAAUGAGGAACUCACCAACUGCGCAGGUAUCGAGCAAAAUCUAAAUUGUGAUUAAUAUACAAUUUGCUAGCUCCAAUUGUAUACGGUGAUGGACCUACAUAGUAUGGUUAUGCUCGCUCAAAAGCUAUUCAAAAUAUAUAGAAUAUAACUAAAAGCAAUUGAUUUACCUCUAAAAUUUCGUACGCAAAUACCACAUGCUGGUAAAAUAUUAUUUUUUAUAGCAAACUGAUAUAACCAUUCAUCAUCAUCAUUAGCAAAUUUAUCCCACAAUAUGAAUCGAGCUACUGUCAAACUGUGUUAACAAAAUUUUGAUAAGUGCAAACAUGGGGGGAAACGUGGGAUGAUGAUUAGAGGAUUUGUAGGAAUGGUUGUAGGAUGAGUUAAAAGAUAGUGGGUAUAAUUUAAAUUUAAAUUUGAUUGGUGAUAAGGUGGGUUAUAACCCACUAGUUUUUAUAUAUUAAAAUAAAUACAAAAAUCUAAAAAAAAGAAUGAAAAGUUUAGAAGCCAUUGAGAGGGUUUCUACUAAAAACCCCUUCUUGAAUACAUAUAGAUAUAGAUACUUUAUUGUCAUGAAAUUCCAAUAAAACCAAUUGCUUGAAAAUGAUAUUAAGUCCAACCACUCCAUAUAUGUGCAUUCCAAAUACAGCAGCAACAUGAAUUGAAUUUCUUAUUUUCCUUUACAAUAAUUAGUAUUAGAUAGGUGUAUAAACUCAUUAUCAUACAUUGACUCAUAUGUAUGUUUGCUACAAGUUAAGCUUAACCUAACCAUGGCACUCUUGCAUAAAUUUGUUUUUCUCUGUAAAUUCGAACUCUUCUCCAAUAUUCAUACCAAAACAAAUAACAUAUUUGUUUGGAUUGGCUUGAUUUCAAAUAAAAAAAUUUACUUCACAAAUUUCAACCACCUUUUUAUCUUUCCAAUCACCUUUUUAUCUCACAUACAUUACAUUACAAAAAGUGCUACAGUAAUUAUCUCAAAUAAAUCAUGCAAAUAAACUCUUAUCAUUGUUUUUCGUCUUAAGUGUGAUUCAAGAAAGGUAUAAAGCAAGCUGAAGGAAACACGUUCAAGGAAGAAAUUACAUAACAUACAAUCAUUUAUGCUAAAUUAAACUUGUUAAAGAAGACACAAAUAAAAUAAAUGACGGAUCAUGUGAACAAGAAAACGCAUUAGGAUACUAUCCAUGUUUAAAUAAGUGGAGUAUGAACUCCAUAGUGUUAGUGAAUGUGGCAUGGAAGGGUUGUAGCUCAAAUAUACACUAAUUACUACCAAUGAUGGUUCUCUUAGGAGCAUAUGGGAGAAGUUUGGAGUCAAAAGUAGCAAUACAAAGGGUUAAUUAUCCAUUUAGUUUGAUACAUUAGUACCCUAGGCAUUUUGAAAAACAAACCAUUUAUGUGUAAAAGUGUACUUUCUUUCUUUCAUAUCAUGUUCUGGCUUUUCUUUUCUUUUUUUCACGUAAUCCAAAAUUUUUGUUUUUUAAGUAGAUUGAGGCACAAAACUGGAAAAAUGGAUGCAAAAUUUUAAUUUAUGCACAAAAAUUUGUUUAACUUUGGUUUGGGUGCUGUAAAUCACUAUAAUAUUUUAUCAUCUUUGUUUAAAGUAAAUGUUUUACUAAGAAAUUUGAUGAUUGGAGUGCUUGGCAUAUUGUUGUAAUUCGAAAUUGUUAUUAGUAGGCUACUUGAAACUCUAAAGGAGAUGGGUUCAGGGUAUACUACCUAAACUCUGUGGGCUUUUGGGACUAGUAUGUGGGGUGAAAUUUAAACAGUACUAGGUUAGGGGUUACCUAAAGGAGAGGGUUUCUAUCCUGAUACAUCUUUGCUUAUGUUUAGAAGAUGACUUUGCUUUUGAUGAUCAAAGAGUAAUAGUUCAAUUGAUAUUCAAAUUACCCAGGACAACAAAUUUUGCAUUUUAUUAUUAGCUUAUGAUUUGAUGGACAUUUGGAGCAACCACUGAUUGGGAGCUAAAAGAAAUUGAAUCACCACAACAUCCACACUCUCAGCGUUUACUGGUAUGUCUGAAAUACUCGUUGAUAUAUUGCACCCAAUCAUAACCAAAAGGGAAAUAACUCUGCAUAAAAUUUGGAGAACGAAUAAAAGAAUUGACUAUUUAACACUUAGUCGUAGUUUACCAAAUGAAUACACAUAAUUAAUAGGGAAAAUUUUAUAAACCUUCCCUAAGGUUUCUAAGAAUUGCAGCCACCUCCAUUAAAGUUUGAAAAAUUACACUUACUUCACGUAGUGUUAUGAAAAGAUUAUAAUGAUCUUGAUAACUCUACAAAUCCUAAGUGAAAAGUGGGUGUAAAGAAAAAAGUAAACCACAUUUUGCAAAUAUUUCUUUAUUCAAAAAGUCUAACCUCAUCUCACAUAAUACAUUAUAUUCAAUUCCUAGAUCAUUUAAAUUGACUCCUUACUUAGUUUUAUAAAUAGCCGACUAGUAAAGAUGCAUUUGUUAAAAUAGUUUCUUGACAACUUACUUAGCAAAGAAAAAAAGGAAGUCCAAACAUUAAAAUAUGAUGCCUUGAAACAAUGGCCUAAAUUUUGCUAUAAAGAACUGCCUUAAAAUUUUUUACUUAGCAAAUAAUGCUGAUAUUUUAUUUCUUUUGUCAUUUAAUUUGUUUUGUAAAUCAAAUAGGGCCAGGCAAUACAGGAGGACGUUCAUUAGACCUUUUGUGCUUACAUCACCAUUUGUUACCAAAAUAUAUUUUCUAGAGGAAGUUUCAAUAAUUUUUCAAAUCUCAAGGGAGGCGGCUGCAAUUGUCACAAUCCUUAGGGGAUGUUUUUAAAAUUAUCCCUAAUUAACAUUAUUGCAUCUUUGUGUUUAGAGAGUUUUCUAUAUUAGGAAAAGAAAACUAAUGCCCGAGAUCCUUCUUAACGAGCACCAAGGGUACCCCUUAGCCAAACUAAGUUAUUAUUUCUCCUACUAAGAAACAAGUAUAGUUUUGGAUUGAUAAAUGUCGAGGAAGGGAUUAAUCUACAAUUUCUAAUAUCAAACCCUCAUCUUAUUCAUUUAUAUAGAUAUCGCAAUAUGAAGCAAUAUCAUUUUGGAAACAUCAAUUAAUUUCAUAUGGCAUACUGAUGGAGAAAUAGGAAUCCGAAGUGUAGUUUCAAAAUAAUAAUUACAAUUUUAGUAGGCAAUCAAUGGUAGUGGGCAUCUCGGUCUUAUAACAUGAAUUCAUGUAUUGGCAAUGCUCGAGAUGAGAUUUGUACAUCCACUGGUAGUGGGAGCUGCUGGUCAGGACCUUGAUAGAUCAGAGUUUAAUUUUAACUGGUAGGUUUAGGGUAGAAAGGGAAUAAGGGAAUGGGAGGUAAAAAAAAAAAAAGAGGUUUAUAUGAAUUUACUUGAGCUAGACCAUUCAUAUAAAUUGUGAGUACUAACCAAAUAUAGAAAAAUUCUAAAUAAAUAAUGACUUUAUGGCUAACCAAUUAUCUGACUCUUUUACAUAUGAACCUAUUUCGGUAAGUAAAGCUGAAAAUAAUUCACCUACCAAAUAUAUGUCAAUCGUCCAUUACUGACUAAGCUUGAGAAGAUUGCUUAAAUAAGAUGAGAGGAUGAUUCAGUCUUCCCAAGACAAUAAUUUGAGAGUGACUCAUCCUUUUUUUCCUUAGUCCACAGCCAAAUAAGCUGGAGGGCAAGGAAGUUGCGUGUUCGCAGUGCCAUUUUGAAGUCAAUUAUAUAACACCAUGUGUUAAUUUUCAACACUAAGGGUCCGUUUGAUUCAAUGUAUAAUAUUUUCAACGGAAAAUGUCUUCCAUGGAAAAUUUUAUCAGGGAAAAUAAUUACCUUCUCCAUGUUUUUCCCACUGUUUGGGAGGAGAUGGAAACUACAAAUCUUUAGUGGGUCAUUGCACGAGUGGUGGGUUUUGUUCUAAAUCUUAAGGCUGGUGGGGGAGCUUGAAUGGGUAGUCUUACAACUUACGAGGCGGACAUGGAAAAUAACUUCAAUUCAUUUUUAUGGGAAGUCAUUUUACACCAUAUGAUGUAAAAUAUAUUCGGUAGGAAAAAAUUUUCCCAAACCAAUAACCCAACCAAACAAUAAAAAAUCAAGAAAACAUUUUCUGGAAAAUACUUUCCUUCCAAACAAAUAGACCCUAAAUGGAAACAAUCUUUGGUCUAAAUAAACUUGACAUGUAUGCACUAUAUUUUUUUGAAUACUUCGCCUUGUUUGGAUUGCAGUUUUCCGUCGAAAAAUUACAUUGUUUUCUGUGAUAACAUUUUCCUAUUACUUUUUUUCCUCACAUACAUCAAAUCGCAACAGUAAUUUUUUUAUAAAAAAUCAUGAAAAAUGCAAUCCAAAUUCAAGAUUUUCCCCUUUAUCCUCAAAACACAAUCCUCGACCUCUUAAAGUCUUGCAAUUAUGAAAAUCUUAUAUGAAGCCAAUCCAAAUUUUUUCCUUUCAGAAUGUUCAAAAUUCGUUAGAUUUUAUAAACCAUUAUUUCCCUUUGCAGGCAAUGAAUACGAAAUAGGAAGGAAAUCUUAGAACAUAAUGAAGCUGAUUGAAGACUAUCCGAGCUCUAAAAUGUCUGUAUCUUUAAUAUGAUGUAUGCUUGUUAAACUGCAUUUCUUUCUCAAAGGUCGUAUAAACUAUAAAGUAUCCACAAUAAGCUAGUGUGCUGGUUUAGUAACACUACUCUUUCGUUGUUGGUACAUAAACCAACGAAACAAAUGCAAUUGACCGCAUCCCUAUUUAAGACUUUCGUGUUCAUUAGCUACCUCAUUUUGACUUCAAUUUUUUGCCACUCUAAAUCAUGGUAUAAAAAAAAAUCUAGAUAUAUUAGUGGACAACAGUAAACCGUGUAUACGAUUAAUUAUUGUACAAACGUCCAAUAUCACAAAGUCAAUAUCACAAAGUCUAUAUAUGCGCCUUGUGUCAAUACGAAACUCGCAUCUCCACUCACACACAAAGGGCAUUUUCCCUUGGUUUCCGUUUCACGGCAUAUCAUCGAGUCACGGAACAAAUAAUGGAGUUUUUCUAUGUCUCUUUGCUCUGCUUGUUUUUGCUUCUUGUUACACUCUCACUCCAUUUCCUCUUCUACAAGAGCAGGUCAGCCUUGUCCGGACCCUUACCGCCCGGUAAGACCGGAUGGCCGAUGGUGGGAGAAAGCCUUGAGUUCUUGUCCUGUGGGUGGAAAGGCCACCCUGAAAAGUUUGUUUUUGAUCGCAUGGCCAAGUACUCUUCCCAUGUUUUCAAGACUCAUCUCUUAGGUGAAAAAGCAGCCGUUUUCUGCGGUGCGCCUGGUAACAAGUUCUUGUUCUCAAAUGAGAACAAGCUUGUUCAGGCAUGGUGGCCUGCCUCUGUUGACAAGGUCUUCCCGUCUUCAACCCAAACUUCAUCAAAAGAGGAGGCCAUCAAGAUGAGAAAAAUGCUCCCAAACUUCCUUAAACCUGAAGCUUUGCAACGAUACAUCGGUAUCAUGGAUCAUAUCGCUGGACGACACUUCUCUUCUGGUUGGGAAAACAAGGAUCAAGUGAAAGUUUUCCCUCUUUGCAAGAACUACACGUUUUGGAUAGCUUCCAGAUUGUUUGUGAGCGUCGAGGAACCAACUGAAGUUGCUAAGUUGCUCGAGCCAUUCAACGUUUUGGCAUCCGGGCUCAUUUCUGUCCCUAUUGAUUUGCCCGGAACCCCUUUCAACCGUGCUGUUAAGGCCUCUAACCAGAUCAGGAAGAUGCUUGUGGCCCUUAUCAAGCAAAGGAAAGUUGAUUUGGCUGAAAGCAAAGCAUCACCUACACAAGAUAUCAUGUCACAUAUGCUUACAAUAAGUGAUGAAAACGGAAAAUUCAUGCAUGAAUUGGAUGUUGCUGAUAAGAUUCUUGGAUUAUUGAUUGGAGGCCACGAUACUGCUAGCUCAGCAUGUACUUUCGUUAUCAAAUUCCUUGCAGAGUUGCCUGAAAUUUAUGAAGGAGUCUACAAGGGUAAGGUUUUGAUUGAUUCAUUAUUGGCAUCUGUCAAAUUUUUGCUUAUUUCUAAAAAUAGUGUAUUGAUGGAACUAUAAGUAGAAUUGCGCCCAAGUAAAUUAGGGUUUCCUCUACUAGAAGUUAUUUAUGAGCAUAUUUUCAAACAAGAAUUAACGCUAUCUUUGCUUGUAUAUUUUGGAAUUGGUCAAAAAUUGAUUGCAAUAGUGGAAGGUUGUUAGAUCUUUUAAAAAAGAUUCUAGUUAGCCCUCAAAUUAUUAGAAAUUUCAAUUAAGUCCUUGAACUUUAUAAAGCAGAUAAAUUUGGUCACUUUGGUGUGAUUUACAAAUUUAAAAAUGAAUUCAGUUUAACCCAGGUUUCAUAUUGUUUUCUUUUUUUUUUUUCAAGCUUCAUAUUCGUGCCAUGGGCUUCUUUCUGUUUUGUUUAUUUUGCUUUUUAUGUGCUUCCAACCCCAUUCAGGUAUAAUAUGCUAACUAUUCACAGCUAUUUAUUCUAAAUCUGUGGAAUUCAUGAGCUACACCCAUUAAAUGAACAUCUUCCAACUGGAAAAGAUCGUGGCCAAAAAAGAUCAGAUUUUAGCUUUUUAAGUGCCUUUCUUGCAUACAGUUUGGAUAGAGUGUUAUUUGAAAUCAUUAUUAUAACAUUUUUUGUAAUGUGAUGUAUGUGAGAUAAAAAUGUGAUUAAAAAUAUAAAAAGAUGGAUUGAGAAAUGUAUUUACGAUGCAAGUAAAAUAUUAUUUGAAAAAAUGGGUAUCCAAACAAACUUAUAUAGCAUGAAUUUUUAUUGGAACUCAAAAAAGGACUAUUGAAGUUAUCGCGUGAUAUUAUUGACAAAGGCAGAUACAAACCUUUGACUCCAUAGGGCCAAAUUUUCCAUUACAAUCAGUGAAGGGUAUCUGUGAAAGACUUGCUAAAGAUUUUGAUAGACAAGUACUCUUUUUUCUUUUCUUUUUUUUCAGAAAGUCCAAUUUCCUUCUUGCAGAGCUUGCAAAGAGUAAAUUUAGCAUAAAAUUACCUAACCCACGUUUCAUUUUUGUUUCUUUUUUCUACAGAGCAAAUGGAGAUCGUCAAAUCAAAAGCACCAGGUGAACUGUUGAACUGGGAUGAUAUUCAGAAAAUGAAGUAUUCAUGGAAUGUUGCAUGCGAAGUAUUAAGACUUGCUCCUCCUCUCCAAGGUGCUUUUAGAGAAGCUCUUGCUGAUUUCAUGUACAAUGGUUUCUCAAUUCCAAAGGGAUGGAAGGUAAAAACAUAAAUAGCAUAUGCAUAUACAUACAUAAUUAACAAUUUAUUUUUGUCUAAUUUCCUAGCAAAGAAAAGAAGUGUAACACGCGGUUCGAAUCCUGGAUCUGGCGCCAUUGGGAAUGGAAAGGGUGUGGGAAGAAGUGGGAGGGUUAAAAAAAAAAAGUGUAUCAUGCAAUCUUUAUACUUAUUGGCUCGCAUAAUUAACGAAUUAUUGUUGUCUCUAAAAUAAUGCAGAUAUAUUGGAGUGCCAAUACGACACAUAGAAAUCCUGAAUGCUUCCCAGAACCACAAAAAUUCGACCCUUCAAGGUUUGAAGGAAGUGGACCUGCUCCUUAUACAUUUGUACCUUUUGGUGGAGGUCCUAGAAUGUGCCCAGGAAAAGAGUAUGCCCGCUUGGAAAUACUUGUUUUCAUCCAUCAUGUUGUGAAGAGAUUCAGGUGGGAAAAAAUAAUUCCUGAUGAAAAGAUUGUCGUGGAUCCGAUGCCCAUUCCUGCCAAGGGACUUCCAGUUCGACUUUUUCCACACAAGGCCUAAAAAUCAUCGUAGUUCUUGUGGCCAUCAUAGCUAAGGCAAAAAAUAUAUAUAUAUAUCGUCUAAUAUUGGAAGUUUCUGCUGCUUUUUUUUUUUUCUUUUGUUUAUAUUAAUCUUGUAAGCUGGUGGAAGGCAUUUAACCUCCUCAUAAACAUGAAAUGUAUAAUGAACGGAAACAACUACAUUUGCUACUAUGUGUUUGCAUCAACUGUUGUGAUAGCAUCUUAUCACUUGACCGCAAAGCAUCUCUAGAAUUUCACAGCCAAAUUUUGGUGGUGAUAUUAAUGUAAAGUGGUUGUCAAUGCCGACUCACUUGAUAUUUUAGUUUGUGAGGCAUCAACUUCCUUUUCUACCUGGGAGAGGGUUGAAAAUUGGAUAGUAACGUGGAAGAGAUAUAAAUAAGAAGUUUUGAAUUCAAAAUCUCUCACUUAAAAAUGAAAGAAAAAAACUUCAUUUUUAACUUGUUUGCCUUAAAAUUUUAAAAAAAUGAAUAAAUAAAAACUUCCUUUUCAUAUUUUAGAAAAUAAUAAUUACUCCCAAAGAAGUCAUGGGCAAUAUUUCUCGGUCCAACAACUUUUAUGUCCAGAGGAAUAGAUAAUUAUCACAAAUCCCUUUAUUUUCCUUGGACUUAAAUGCAUGAAUUAACAAGAAAUAUUUCACGUGCCAAGUCAAAAUAAUCUUCGACAAGUAUGAUUGCUUUUGAUGUUGACUUGAUAGUAAUCAGGAUCUCAGGAGGAGUGAGCAAAAAAAAAAAAGAAAAGGUGGAGCCAAGUGUUAGGUUGUCCACCCCAUUUAUUUCUCUGAAGUUUUCUUCAAGCACCCCAUAAUGUUUUCUUUCUUUAAAAUUCAUCUUUUGAUUAAAACCAAUUUGUCAACUCAGUGCACUUUGAAUAGAUAGGCCACUUGGUCCAGUCAACAUUGGGGCACUGUCUUGGUAUAUGACCAUUUCCUGAUUGAAAAGUUGGCCUAUUCCCAUUGCAACUAUUUUGACCUAUUAGGCAAUAGUGUGUUAACUGGUAAUUUACCAAACCACAUUUUGCGUUAUGAUAAUGUAGCAACCCCUAAGUGGUAAGGUGAUGGGAUUACUUUAUUCUUCUAAUGGAUUUCAUUUCUUAUGAAAAAAACACCUGAUUCUUAAUUGUCUUUCCCUCUCUCUCUCUCCCUCUCUCUCUCUCUCUCUCUUUUUUUUUGGUUUUUGAGGUAAGAUAUCUUAAUCCCCAACAAAUUUUUAGCCCCUUGUAGUACUCCUUGAACUUUGAAUUGAACCAGCCGACCGCAUGAAAUUAGCAAUUGAUAUCAGAAUAGUCCAGUUGUCAUUUUUCGAAAAGGGUUUUUCUAACGGGUGCUCUUAACAUACUCGUUAACACACCUAAUAUUCACCUGUCAUACUAUCUAUAUAUACAUACUAAUAAUUAUUAUCCUCUCUUGCAUUUAUAUACUUUUCCUAUUUAAUUUUGUCUAUCUUCCUUUGUAUUUAUUUACUUCUUCUAAUUAAUCUUAUAUUUUUAAAAAUAUAAUAUCUGAAAUAUAUUUUAACGAGUACUUUAUGGCACCCGUUAGACAGACCGUUCAAAAAAAAAUCAUGUGUAAUAUUUGCACAUGACAUCUUGACAAAAUUACCCAGUUAUUAGUUGCACAAAGUCCCCUUUAUUGGUAAGAACAUAAAGUCCCUUGUCUUGAAGCUUUUCUAUACAAUUUAUUGUGAGAGUCCUUUCCAAAAGAGUACAAUAGAGUGUCCCCAUUUCAAUCGGGAAAGAUAAUCCAAUGGACUCCAGUCUAAAUUAACAAGUACUAGAAUAAAUGUAGUGUCCUAGAGCGAUGAUAUUUGACAUAGAUGACUCUUUGAAAAGUUUGCUUGGGAUCUAGGACUUCUGGCAACUGCACUAUACAGUAGACUAAACUAAUCAAUAAUUCAAUAUAAAUACUAAGAUAACACCAUGUAAAAAUAUAAUAAUUGUUUUAUUUAUUGAAAUUUGUACUCCAAAUUCAAUCCCAAUGGUGGCAGGAAGAAGAAAAUUUAGAGGGAAAGAAGCCUCAAAAAGCUUACUUUCGUAGAAUUAAUUAUGCACUGAAAUAAGCCAAUUAAUUGGGCCUUAAUUUAGUGUUGAAAACAAUUUAUUUUUAAAUCCCACAAAUAGGAUGUUCAUGUCAUCCAGUUGGGACUUAUAAUUCCAAUUUGGGUUAUUACCGCAUCUUGUGCAUGUUGUUUUACUUAAAAUCAUAUCAUUUUCUGGAAAGAAAAAUGAAUACCAAAUGAUUAUUCAUGGUGGUUGAUUGUUCACUGAAGAGUUUACCUUUGUUCUUUAUGUAAAAUUGACUUUGGCGGAUUUGGGAAAGCUUAUGAAUGUUGGACAGUUGGCUUCGUUGGUUGGUCCCAUCAUAAGCCUUUUGCAACAUUGCCAUUCAUUAUCAAAUUCUGAAAAUGCGUACGAGUGUGGCUGGUCUUCUGCCCCCACGGGAUAGUUCGAGCGGUCUAUAUGGUGACCUUUUUGGCUGACCAAGGUUCGAUCCCGUUGUUAACGUGUUCGGUGUGGAGUGGGGCCUCCCCUCCCGGGCUACAGAAUUAGUCGGGCUCCGUAAGAAUUUGUGUUAAAAAAAAAAAAAAUACUUAUUGUGAAGUAAUUGCCAAAAAGUUUUAAAGAAAAUUAAAAAAAAAAAAAAAAGAGCACAAUUGGAUUGCAUUUUCUGGGGAAUCUUUGGAGAAACAAUUACUGUAAUUUUUUUUAGGAUGCGACGUAUGGGUGAUAAAAAAUCAAUUGAAAUAUAUGUAAAAGGAACAUUCACAAAGGACGUAAGAAUUUUUCUCCGAAAAAUCACUUUACUCCGAACAAGGAGUCUUCUAGCAGUAGAUUGCUAGUGCAUACUUUUAUCCAUCCCAGCUCCCAGUUGAAUUCCUCUUUUCACCAGAAAUUUUACCACAUCAAGUGCCUAUGAUUACUGGGUAUAUCAUAUUAAGUGCCUAUGACUACUAGGUAUAUAUGGUCAUCUUUUCAGCACCAGAUGCAGCUUCUUUUUCUGUUUAUAUAUGUUGAAAAUAACACCGGGACAAAAUGGCUUCAAUUUCAUCGAGUUAAGUGGUGUUUGUUAGGUGCACAUGAAAAUCAGGAAUGAGUAUCAAAAUCAAUUAUAACCACACCUAUUUUUUUGGCGUACAUGGUGGGAAUCAUUCCAUGCACCGGCGGAAUUAGGAGUUGAGUUUCAAGGGCAAGGGGUACAAGACUAGUAAAGUUCUACAUUAAAAGUCCUCCUAAAGUUCUACAUUAUCACAGAUGCCGGAUUUAUUGCUUGCCUUUAAAAUCUAGAAACAAGCUGUUGUCAGGGAUUACAGUUUCAACAUUGCCCAUUACAUUCCUUCAUCAUAAUUAUCUCAAAGCUGUUGUCAUGGAUUACAGUUUCAUUUCUCCCUAUCUAAUUAAUCCAUUUCACAUAUUUUGACGUAGAAAAAUAACUAAGGUGUCAAUCCUUUUUAAGUAUACUAACUACUCUAGCUAUAUUUUGAGAAAGAGAAAGAUAAAGAUUGAUGACCCUAAAGGCUUAUAUAGACUCGUAACAAAUUUUGAUUGUUGAUUUAAACAACACAACAACCAGCAGUGAUCAUGCAUUGAGUAGACUUGGACUGGUUGCGAUUGAGGGACUGUUCAAUGUGCAUCGAAUUUAGUUAUAUCUCACCACAACAUUUUAUGAAGGACUAGUUGGUUCAGUUUAUGAAAUCAAGCACCCUAAAAGAACUAGUUUCAUUAGACUUAGGGGUCAUGACUAGAGGUGUCAAAAUAGGUGAUUUGGGCGGGUUUUAGUUGGUUAAAAUGGGUAAUGAGUAUAAGUGAAUCAACCCAUUUAUACCCAUCUAAUUAGAUGGGUAUAAAUGGGUAAGUCAAAAAAUGAAUUAGAUAAUCCAAUUACCCAUUUAUUUUAACUUUUUGUAAAUUCAUUUUUACAGACUAAGUUAUCAAUUUAUACCAUCCCUUGCACCUAUCAUUAGUUUUAAAUAUUUACUUAUAAUGUUCAAUAAACCUAAUUACCAAUUUUUUUUUCUUUCUGUACUCUAUGUCGCAAAAUUACAUACUAUUUAAUAAUUGAACAAUAAGAAUGUAAAAAUUUGAAUUAAGUACUAUAAAAGUUGACAUAAAAACUUAAUCCAAAAAUUUUGAACCCCUAGCAUUUUUCCCGUGUGUAAAUUUAAAAUUUUAUUUUGGAAAGGUAAGAUAAGAGGCUAAAACUUGUCAUAAAUUAGUAAUGCUAAAAAAUGAGCAAGUUACCAAACUAAAAAAAAUAAAAUGAUAAGAUAAAACCAACAAAUAAUAAUAAUAAUAAUAAUGAAACAAAAGUAGUUAACAUGAUGACAAAAUAAAUAUUUUGAAAAAAAAAUGGGUGGAGGAAGAGAGGAGGUUUGGGAGAAGACAAUUUUAAUUGGGUUUGAUGGGUUAUACAAUAAUACCCAUUUAUUAAAUGGGUAUUAUUGAAUAAUUCAUUUAUACCCAUAUACAAAAAUUUAAAAUACAUAUACCCAUCUAUUCAUGGACGGAUAUGGAUAAAUUUAAUUAAAUGGGUUUGUUUGCCACCUAUAGUCCUGACUUUCCUUGAGAUUUGUUCUAGCUAGAGAGUUUACCUUUCCAUCUUUUUGUUACUAUAUUCAGAUAUUAUUAUUGUGCUACCCUACUGCAGUCGAAUCUUGUUUCUCUUAUGCGCAGAAAUUUCAUCCCAUUUAUGAGAACCGAGUUCAAUUUGUACAAAUAGAUUUACUGCAGUAAUACUAGAGAGGGACUGUGCUUAAUCAAAGAGCUGGAAUGAAUGACAAAUAUUGAUUGAUAAAAUUCUCCAUUGUAAAUUUGACAAAGAUCAAGACAAGACAGAAAACAAGAAAUUCUUAAUUAUGUUCUAUAUGCAUUUCUAGUAUGCUAGUCAAAAAUAACAAAAAAAGAAAAAGAAAAAUCUCUUCCAGAUCAAGGUGGUCCAGGACUUAUUUUGACGCCUUAAAACAGUUCUGUGGGAUCAUUUCUACACCAAAUAUUUCUCCCCUUCUUCCCUCUAAUUCUUUUAGGAUUUGAGCAUUAUUCAUUUGGCACAUUAGAAAGAUUUUUCUUAUAAAAAGAACUCUUUUAAACAGUUCGAGCAUUUUACAGUCUCCUUGAUGUUCUAUGAUUCGCUAAUUUUUUUGGCUAAAUUUAUUCAUUAAUAAACCAAACUUGUUUCCGAGCGUUUUGGGCAUUUGUUAGAGCCUGGUCUAUUUCCAUUUUUUUUUUUGUCCAAAGUAAACUUUAAGCCUUAUAAGAGAAAAAGGUAAAAAGAGGACUAAGGCUCCAUUUGAUAACACUGAAUUUGAAUUCUGAAUUCUGAAUUCUGAAAUAAUUAAUUUGCUGAAUUUUAAGCACUGAAAAGAGAUAUAUGAAUGUCUGAAUCUUAAUGCUGAAUCUAUUUAUACUGUUUGAUAAAUAUUCAUAACUUAAUGCUUAAUAAGCUAAAUUGUACAAUUUUGCCCUUCUAUCUUUUAAUCCAAAAAGAAAAUAGAACCUAUGAUUUAAUUAGCUUAAAAUUGUUAGGUAUGAAAAAGACAAUAUUUAUUUUUAAAUCAAAUUAAUAUAAAAGAAGAAAUAUAUUAUGCAAAACAUUAAAAGAAACAUUACAAUCCAAUAAUUCAUAUAACAUAUAAAUUCGACCUAAAAAAUUUAGAAAUGAUUGUUUGAAUAGAGAAUAUCAUAUUGUUUUGUUUAAUUAGAUAAGGAUUUUGAAUAGAGAAUAUUAGGUUGUUUAAUUAGAUAAGAAUUUUGAAUGUAAUUAACAAACAGGGAUAGAUUUGGUAGAUAAGCUGAAGUAGAUGAAGUAAAUCUCUUGAUUCUUAUCAAAUUAAGCACUCAGUUACGAUUCUUGUGCUGAAAAAAAUACAUACAAAUUCAGCACCACUUAAUAAGUUCAACAGGUGAAUUAUUAUUUAUCAAACACCCAAAACCUCUUAAUGUCUGAAUGAAUUCAGUUUCAGCACUUUUUUAUGUUAUCAAACAGACACUUAAAUAUUGAACUAAAACCUCACAAUUGCCUAGUUACUUUUCCUGUCGACUGAGUUGGGUUUUGGGAAUGAUAUCAAAAGAAAAGUUUGUUGGGUAAAAAAAUGAGAAGAAAAGAAAAGUUGUAGAGUUAUACUGUCAUAAUCUUAUUUUUCCUACUUAAAAACUAGAAUAGCUAAAAAUAAAGCAAUUUUGAGUUUUACUGUUGAUCCGUGACGCUCAAUGACCGGAAAUGGAAUGCUUUUUCCACAUUUCAUUUUGGGUAAAAUACCAAAAAAAACUCCCUGUGGUUUGACAAAUGUUUAAUUUAAUUUCCUCUAGUUUGAAAAUCUAUACUAUAACUCCCUGUAGUUUCGAAUAAAUCAAAAAUUGGAUAGAAAGCAUUAAAUCUAAUGGUUGUACGUGAAAUGUCAAUAUUGCCCGUACUAUACGUGAAAUACUUUCCAUUCAAUUUUCAAUUUAAUUGAAACCGUAGGGAAAUAUAUUGUAGUUUAUCAAAUUAGAAGGAUUUAAAUUGAAUAUUUGGCAAAGUUCAUUUAUAUAGGGGCAAUAUAAACAUUUCACAUAUAACUGUUAGAUUGGAUGCUCUCUGUCCAAUUUUCAAUUUAAUUGAAAACACAGAGAGCUAUAAUAUAGAUUUUCAAAUUAGAGGGACUUAAAUUGAACAUUUGACAAACCACAACAAAUUUUUUUUGGUAUUUUACCCUUUCAUUUUCAAUCAGACAUUGGCACUAAGGAGGGGUAAGUGAGGAUCAAUAGACAUAUCAAUGACAGUUCUUAGAUUUUACCAAUUAGAUAGAAAAUUAUUACUAUUGAAAUUCUUAUGCAUUGAAGUCAUCAAUGUCAAAAAAAAGAUGUGUACACCAAGAAUGUACUAGGAAAGAGUAGUCGUUACAUUUCAGUGUUGGUUCCCUCUUAAAUGAAAGAAAUUAAUAGCAUUGCAUUAAUGGGCACCAAAAUUGGUUAUGGAUUAUGGAGAACUCAACUAAUAUGUUGUGUUGUCUUGUUGUGCUUUAAAUGUUUCUCCCUUUUGUAGUCAUUCAGGACCCCCAUAUGAGACCCUGAUUUAAAUAUUUUGGCUGAGAAAUGAACAGCCAACCAAUUUUUUACACAAAUUAUGGGUUACAGGUGGUCAGAAAAGCAAUGCUUUAAAGACCGGCAGAUUGAGUUACAACGCUUCGAAUCUUCUGUCCCCAAAAUAGUUUCUUUCCUUUAUUUAUAUAACUGUCACGUGUCUUUAAUCUUUUGUUAACCCAAACUCAAGUAAAUAGUUUACCCAAACUCAAAUAAAUUUUAGAUUAAAUAACUAUUUCUUGCAAACAAGUGAAUUAUUGGAAUAACUAAAAUUUAAUUAUAAACAAGAAAAGAAAAUAUUACCCGUGACAAUUGCGUUGAACACAACAUACGUUGGCUAUUUGGUUCCCAUAUGUUUAAACCAUCUCUACUACCAGUAGGACCUUCAUGCACAUGCUUAAAAAUAAAAAAUAUAAAUGAAUAAUUAUAUCAUCAAGACUCAAAAAAAAUUAUAUCAACAUAAUAUCUAAUUAAAAGCUUGCUUUUCAUGCAAACAAACCCAUGGUUUAUUUGAGUUUGGUUAACAAAAGGUUAGAGACAUGUGGCAGCUGUAUAAAUAAGGAACAGAAGGGACAGAGACUAUUUUGAGAACAAAUGAUUCGAAGCCCCCUUACAACGGGGCUAACGGUAUAAAGCUAACUCUCGUAAAUGACACAUAGAUUGUUUCUCAGGCUUACCUAGCUAGGAAAUAAACCUGUUUGGAAUGCGAUUUUUUGCAGAAAUAUUUUUUUUGUAUACUUCAUAUACGUCAAAUUGCUAUAAUAUAUUUUUCUACUAAAAUUGCUAAAAAUAGCAAUCCAAAUGUGGGGCAGCCAGAUCCCCUCUCCCCUGGAAAAUUUUAUCCCUUCAUUGGCCAAUCAUUGGUUGUUUGUCUAGAUUAGGAUGGGUGGACAUCAAAAUGUUCUGAAUGAUUCCUGUGUGGAUAUAAUACUAAAUUAAAAUAAUAUUGUGAGAUGUAUACACGUUUUCAAAUGAGCUUUAAGCGAAUGUUUUUAUACCAAGUCGGUGAGUAGAUUGGAUGAGUUUCUAUUUCAUGGUUCAACCGAUUUAUCGUCUAAAAUAAUGUUUACUUUUUUAUUUGCUUUUAUAUUAAUGAUUUGGAUACUUGUAAAAUAUUAAAUAAAAGAAGUGACAACAGGCUCAAUUGUCCACCAGUUCAAUUUCAACCAUCAAAUUCUUUUGUUGUUUUUGACCGAUUCAAUCAAUUUUUUAUUGAGUUUGGCCCAUUUUUAAAAUUUUUGAAAUCUAUUAGACCAAUACCAUAGCUACUGCAUGGUCAAUCAAUCAAAUCAAUCGGUUUGGUCUAAUUUUCAAAACACAAGCACAGAACAACAGAAGCACUGAGCUUUAGUUCAGUGGCUAUCAUCUCGCCUGGUGGGAUGGGAGGUCAGGGGUUCAAUCCUUGCCUCCCACUAAAUUGUUUGCCUGUUAUGGGCAACUCAAUUGAUUUCAGCAAACCUCCUUAGGAGCUGGUGUCCAGUGUCUGCAAGGGUUCGAGUCCUGUGAUUAUCGUGUUUGGAGGAAUGGGACCUCUCCUCUCGGGCCGGACUGGGAUCAGUCAGGCCCCGUAAGAAUUGAUCCGGACACCAACUCUAUCAACAAAAAAAAAAAAAAAGCACAGAACAACAGUAUGUUUUUCAUUGUUUACACAACUUUUUUUUUUUUGUGGGGGGUUGGGGGUUUUGGGGGGGGGGGAGGGGGGUUGGGAUUUGGGGACAUUUGCGUAAUAAUUCUGAAUCCUGUCCAUGCCACUUAGAUCUUUUUUUAGAUCUUUUUUUAAAUCUUAGCAUUGGCCCUUUUUUUUUUCUUCUCUCUCCACCUUUUCUCUGAUGUUCUUUGUUUUCCUCUUCUGUUCCCCCUUUCUUUUUGGUUUCUGAAUCUCUUGGUUCUUCUCCUUCCAAGAAACCUUAGCCACUAUUGUUAGUGGUGGCAACCAGGAUAAAACCAUAACCUUUUUAGUUUUUGCAAAACCCAAGGCAUGUCUAACUCCUCCUUUUUGCAUGGAUAAAUCCACCUCAAUUUUAUCACAACCAACACCAAAUUCACAAUAAUUACACGACAAUACUUCAUAAAAAAAAAAAAAUCAUUAACUUGUUUGAAAGCCUUGACCUUUGUAAUAAUAUCAUGGGGUACCUUCAUGGAUUUCACCAAUUCCCACUUUGUACUCCAAAGUUUUCAGUUAAAAACAAUUCAAACUCUAUUCUUUUAGCUUGUUCAACUUAACAUUUGCUAACCAUUUUAAUGAAAAUAACCAAGGCUAAACAUGACACUAGCAUUUCACAUAUCUGCUGUACUUAGAAGAAAAUUAAAUUAAGGUUUGCAUGUUGUGAUUAAAAUUGAGAUGAUUAACUAAGUGUGCAUGUUAUAAUUUAAAUCAAGAUCGACAACAUCAGCAGAAAAAACAAUUUACAAUAAAAAAAUAAAAAUAAAACCAAAAAAGUCAAUUAAUUGCUCAAAGAAUUCCUCUUAAUUCUCCCUGGAAGGUGCAUGAGAGAAACAAGACGUAUUCGGUUCGGCCUAUCUAAAAUGAGUUUGUUUAAGUGGAUUUAACCGCUGAAAUGAGAUUCUGACCGGUUCAAGAAAGAAGAUAAGAUUAAUACAGCCAUCCAAUUCAAUGUCCAUUACAAUUCUCUGUAGAAAGUAGGGUUUCGGUUUCGUUGAAUUCUGACCUGGGCAUCGGAGCUUUUCUCACAACGAAGUCCAUUUCUUUUCACAAGUCAUUUUCAAGCGGAAAGUCGGAUAACAACCAAAAGGUUCUAGCCAUUUGUUUCCCAUCAAACAUUUUUGACCCGCCAUGGCUUCUUUCACAUAUAUACACAUUGCGAACUGACGACAUCUCCAAGAGAACUAAAGGCUGAGUUGGUUGCGUGGUGCCCUAUCUGACAAAGAAGCGGUACUAUCCCAUAUUUCAAAGUUAUUAAAUCCGAUCCAGUAAGGAACCGACAGAGGGGAUUAGGUUAAUGGGUCAUUGGUUCAAUUAAUGAAUUACUGGUUGAACCGAUGAGUACUAAUUUAGUAUUUAUAAAUAUAAAAUAGUAAUUUUAAUACGCGCAGAAUAUCUAAUAAAGUGCUUUUAGAUACUAAUUAAUGUACUUAGAAGAUUUAAUAGAAGAUUUAAUUUCAUUUUAUCGUACUUAUUCCUAAAAAAUAAUAUAGUCAAAUAUGAAAUAAAAUUGUGUCUCCUGUUUUAAAAUAAUAUAACAUUAAUUUUUCAUUAUUUUAUUUUUAUUUAAAAAUAAAAUAAGUUUUUAACUGCUCAAAUAUUGUCAAUUUGAAAGUUAAAAGGAUUAAUUGUGUAAUAAAAAGGUAAACAAGUUUAUUUAAAAAAUAUUUUGUUAUCAAAUAAAAACUAAGCAAGUGUUAGAGUCUUGUGCACAUUUAAAUGAAGAUCUAAUGUACAAAUCUUAUCAAAAACAUGUAUAUAAUUUGAUUAAAAAACAAAGACCCACAAUUGAAAAAAACAAAAUCAAUUCAAAAAUCAGAUAGAUUUUUGGUUGAACCAGCGAAUCAGAUGAUUUUGUUCAGACUAAUUUCUUGUCCGGUCAGACUAAAAACCCGACCCGAGCCGACCUAAUGUUGGUUCAACACGAGAUUGUUGAAGAACCUUUUUUCUUCAAUAGAGGGUUUGUUUCUCUUCGACUCGUUUUCUCUUUCUAAUUCUUAUACUCCAUUUUACCAGAUUCAUACGACAUUGUAACCAAGAAAAAUAGAAGUAGACCCAUGUCAAAGUUCCAAAAUCUUUCAUGGCAUAUCCUCACCCGUUAAUCUACUUCAAAGUGAAAAUUUUGAAGUAGACUUAAUUGCAAAUGGGUGAAGAUAUGUAGUUGGCAGCUUAAAUUUGCACUCAUGGUAGUUUAGUAUCCAAACUGGCAUUCUUUAUCAUUUUGACCUCAGUACUACUUAAGUGCCCUUAAGCAGCAACCCCCCCCCCCCCCCCGCCAACUUCUCCUCUCUUCAACAACAAAAACACGAAGUCUUUUUGGAUCAAACAACAAUCUUUCGUGGCGCCAUGGAUUUCAAAUCAAUCAUAGAACUUCACCGGUAUUUCACACCAGAGAUUUAUUGAGUGGGUACAACGUUGCAGCUUCACUCGCGAUCAUCGUGGUGUAGAAUUCGUAGGGCAGACAAACUUGGAGUAGCUAUGACCACAGCCCCAGACAACGACAUAACCCCAACACUCAUUAAUCUUUCACAGGACAUCCUGCCCUACAUACUUUACCCAGCCAUCAUUUUCUACUCCUCUGUUCAACAUAAAAAUUUCGUCAUGUACAUGAAUAUCUAUACAAAAAGCUCACAUGCCUAAGGAGUUUUUUUUUUUUUGUUGGGGGGGGGGGGGGGGGGGUUUGCUAGGAGCAAGAUUUUUGUUUUAUAGAUCUUGGUAAUCAAAUAAAGAGAGUUCCUCAAAUGCAUGAAAUUUUAGAAUCUAGGAUUUGUAAAUGCUAUUUUCUCCUUAGAACAGGAGUUCGAAAAUAAGGGGUAAUAGAAGUGAAAAUACAUGAGAAAUCAUGAGAUCUUGAAAUGACACGCGAUUUUUUACUCGAGUUAGAACUCGACCAAGGCAUUUCAAAAUCCCCGUGGAUUUUAAAAUACCAUGAAUUUAGCAUAAAAUAAGGAUUCAAUCUAAACAACCUCAGAAGCGAAAACAAGAUGCAAGUGAAUUUAGUAGCAUUGUAAUGUUUAAUAUGCAUAAAAAGACGAAUGAUAGUAUAAGAAAGCAAUAUGAAGGGACUAGGGAGCCGAUCAGGCAAAGAAUUCCCCCACCCCGUCCAUCAUUCACUAGAAUCCAGCCAUCUUAUUCUUACCUGCACAGGGCUGUGUAUUUGGAAGUGUUCAUUGGUCAAAAGCUGUCCAUAGUGUCACUAGAUUUUGCUUUUAUGAAGCCAUGAAUUGACUGCCACAACCUUGUUUAGGCCAGAACACGGACUAGAAAAGCAUUAAGAAUAGCUUAAAGACACCAAACUAGUAGAAACAGCUAUUUCGGUUUUUUUUUUUUCCCUGCUUUCCACAAUGGCCAACCUAAUUUACUCGGAAAAGCACAACAUUGUUCAGCAGGUUCGAAUACACAAAGAUCAAUUGACUAUAAAUGAAUAACACGUCUAUAUAAAUUUACAGCCAAGAAAAGCAAAAUACUAUGCCAAAACUGAUCUAAAAUGAAUCGUGGCAACACGAUUGCUAAAACACUAGGAAGCCAACCCAAAAUGAAUAUGGUACAAGCAAACAAUCACAACAACAAAAUAUGAUAACCGCCCCCAAAGAGACCAGCCAAUAUUUCCAUAUAAACUCCUCUCUUUUAAAAAGACCAGACUGCCGAUUGAAAGCACAUAGCUAGAAGUUACAACCAAGGAGAAAGCCAUUUUGCGCAUACCCGAGGCGAAUUUGCCCAAAAGCCUUUUGCUCCUUGUACAUCCCUUUAUACGUCCAUCGAUCGAAUGAUAUUUUGCAAGGCCAUCCAAAUCUAGCAAGGUGAGAGGAUACCACCUAACUAUAAAUAUCUUUACUCAGGACUGACUGACAUACAGUACAGGGACAAGCCCAGCCAUUUUACCGUCCCUCCCAGGGCGUUUUUUCUUCACCUGCAAGAAAAUGUGCAAUCAAACAUGUCAGCCACAUUUAAAAAGAAAGAAAAAAGUUUACUGAUUAGAGAGCAAAUAAACUCUUACCAAAAAAAAGAAAAAAGAGAGAGAAAAUAAACAACCAAUCAAAGAAGCUAACUAUGACCCAAUAUAUGAACUAAUCAUUUUCUUGCAGGCCGAAUCACUAAAAAUCAUGAGAUAAAUGCAUUUAUAAGACCAUAUAUUUUGGUCUUGGACAAUAAAGAGGACAGACACUCACAUUAAGCUCUUCAAGGAAAAAAAUAAGCCAUAAAUAAAUGAAGGUUUCUUCUAUUCUGUGCCUAAGCACAACAAAAAGAAGGUGGUGGCCCACUGUAAAACUCUUACAUUAUGCCCCACCCCCUAAAUUGUGUACACUUUGACAUACAAUACUUGAAACUUUUGCAGAUAAUGAAACGCCAGGCCCAUGUAGGCCCAGAAUAGAAGAACCCAUAAAUGGGGAAAAAAAUUCAGAAAAUACAGUUUCUCGUCACAUUUCAUUCCCCCUACAAAGACUCUAUGCCUCUUUAUCAUUUUUCAAUAGCAGUAUUAAAAGUCAAGCUAUAAAGUAUCAUUUCUAAAAGAAUAUGCUGUUUAACUUUGCAGGUCCACAUGUUAUAUACUGUAGCAUGUUUUGCCCUAAACCAGAACCAGAUUCGUUUGACAGGAACACACAUUCAGGUUUAACCAAAUUAUUCUGUAAAAGAACACAUAGCAUUUUAAUCUGAUAAAUUUAAAAGCAUUAAACCUCAUUGUGGUUUAGCUUGACGUAAGAGUUUUCUCUGACAGUCUAAACCAAAUACAUCCUCCAUUAUGGGUCACCCAAAUACAUACUCAUUCCUUCAUGCCUUAAAAUUUUUGCAUGAUUAGUUCUAUUCAACUAUGAAGAUAAACUUAUCCUAUGUAAACUGUUCCACAAAUUCCAUUUGUAGGUAGAGACGGGCAACAGUUAUGAAGUUUAAAGAAUGCUAUAAUUGCAAAUACAGAGCACAUUAUAGCACAAGAGAAUAUGUGCCCAUGAAGACUAGAUAAAGUUAGACAAAUUCCAUUUACCUAUGCAUUAAUACAGAGAAAAGUUUAGCAAAAUCCAUUGAGUAAAAGGAACAUAUGGAAGAUAUGAACAUUCAACUCAAGGUUACAUCUCUUCCACAUCCUUCUUCCAUAGACAUAAUCAACCAAAAAACUCGCAAACGGCUUUAAUUUGGAAAAAGGAAUUUCGACAAGGCAACAUCCAAAAGAAAAAAAGAAUCUGUGAUCAAAUUUCAUCUAAACUGACAUAAAAGAGUAACAUAACUAACACACACACAAUAAGAACAGGCACAACUCAAAAGAAUAUCUUAUUUGAUCUAUAAGAUUAGAAAUCCUAAGAAACAAAACAAAGUCAAGGACAAAAUUUCCUCAUAGGACGAUAAGAUAAAACACAGUCAAGGAGAGAUGAGGGCAUAACGAAAUUGACUUGAGUUCAUGUGCACAUUUUACUUACAUAAAACCAGCCAUCUACUUCAUAUUCAAUUUCAACCUCUUCUCCUGCCGUCAGAUUCAGCUGUAAAAAAUGGUAAACCACCAAACAUCAAUUUCCAGAAACAAAAUGCUUAAGCACAGCGACUUUAUAGAUAUAGAGCUCUGGACACCCAUGGGCCUCAACCAUAAACUAAGAUGUCAUACUUAGAAUAUCAGAACAACCAACAAAUAGACAAGAUGUAUAAGUAAACCAUCACUCAGAAAGUAGCAGUGUAGUAUUGCAAGAUUAAUUUGUCCUAUUUCUUCAGAGUUUAAUUACCACAGCUCAUCACAAAACCACAAAGCAUACCUCAUCAUCACCACCAGCAGUAAAGUCAUAAAGAGCUGUGCCAUGUUGUCGAUUUGUGGAAGAGAGUCGCUCAUCAUCAUGGGAUCCAAAACUUUGUGAGCCAGGACCAGCUAAGGGGUUCUCAAAUGACUCGUAUCUUUGAUGGGUAGGAGAUGAAUAUGGGGGAGGCUCUUCUCUUAUCUUUAAUGCCCAAGUACAAGAAGUAAUGGGAUUAACACUUUCAAAAAUACAUACGAUUUAAAAAAGUAGCAGCAAAGAAGAACCACCACUGCCAUGACAGCAUAAAAGCUCAAAACAGGGGAAUCAAAUUCAAAGAUGCAGUAUGGUGUAGAUGUUAAUUAGGUUGAGAAAUGACAUUAAAAAAUGAAGAUUGAUCUAAUUUGAAAAAACCAGCCAGCCUAAGUAACCAUGAUAAAGCAGUCACCAGAUUCUAAGCAAAAUAAGAGAGACAACAGUCUGAGUUGGGAAACCAACUUUCUCUGCUUCUUUUACGGACGUAUCCUGAUUUAUAAUUAAGCUUACACCAGUUGUAGGAUCUUUAAAGGAUAUUUAAAUAUGAAAAUUACAACACAACUAUAGCUCUUUCUUUACAUUUAGUAAAUUAAUGAUGGCAAUAAGCACAACUCAAUGGUUCAGAUGUCCAUACCGGGGAAUUAAAACCCUCAUAUGAGUUUCCUCCAAAGGAAGGAUGGCUAAAUCUGCUUCCACCAGCCCUCUCCUGUCAUUAAAAAAAAAAUGUGGCAUCAUUAUCUUCUUCAAUACCAUUUGCCUGUCAUUUUUGAAUAAAUAACCUGUUCAUCAUAUCAACUUGAAGGAGCUGAACUCAAAUUAUAAAGUUUAUUUGUCAAAAUAAAAGUUUCUAGACAGCAAUUAGCUGAUUCCAAGGUUCCAGCAAACUAACCCUAGAACAAGAAAUGCCAUGAAGCUGUAAACUUGGAAGCAUUAUUGCGAAGAUGCUUUUUCUUUGCUUUCCUAUGUUCAUGCAUGUUGUACAUAAAAGCAAUGACAAUAUAAAAAGAAACCGGUUCACAUCGAUCCCAUUUGUCUCAAAAGAUACUGGAACCAUACCAAACAUUUGCGGAAUUGCAACAGUGUGCUUUCGCCAUGUGUUUACUCACGUUUUGUUAUAAGGUUGAGGAAUUCCAUCAAAUUUUCAAAAGUGGAAAAAACCUUGUGGAAAAUAAUUUGCAAUUUUGUGGAUCAAUUAUUCCCAUAAUAAUGGUAACUGUGCUGUGUGCAGUUUUCCUUUGCACUGACAGCUCACAUGAGAAAAAACCAAUAAAAUACAAAAACAAAAAAGGAUCCACAGUUUUGAUGAAAAAAAUAUUAAAUUGUUUUCUAAUUGUUACUAAAAUUCAAGAUAUUUCCUUUAAUUGCCUUUUCAGUCCCUUUUGCAUUGGAAAAUUUGGUAACAAAACACAAUAUUCAGAUAAAACAAGAAACGAUUAUAAACCACCCUACCCAAUAUGAUAACAGCAACUCCUAACCAUUAACAGAACAAGAUAUUGGAAUAAAACAAAGUUUUACGCAAUAAACAUUUAUGCUAAAACAAACAUAUUCAGAAUUAAAUGCUAGGUCAAAGAAUACCUAAUUAGUAUCCAACUGCAAUUAAACUAGAAUGUAUCUAAAAUCCAUAAAUGUUAUACCGUGGACUGAGAAGAACCAUAAGUGGAGGGCUUCGAACUGAACAGCGAUGGAUAGUUCAUUCCACCAAAAUGAGAUGAUAUCGAUGUCUCAACUGAUCCAACCGAGUCAGGGGAAGAAGAACCAGAAGACCUUGUAUCUUCCUGUGACAACAAAAUGAUAGUAGUAUAAAAAUAUCUAUUAUACAAGUAGACCCCAAUAUAAUCCAAGUCCAAGAACCUCCCACAAAGCAAAUUAAAAACAUAACUACAACAAACUUGCACAGCUAUAAGAUCCAGUAUCUAACCUCCAUUUCUGUGGUCUCUAAAAGAGUCUUUGCCCACAUAUCGUCGUAACUCAUGGAAGGUCUAGAAGUAAUAUUCUCCUCAACGUCAGGAGCAUCGGUACCAGCACCAGAAAGGAAUUCAUUUACCUAAAGUUAUGCAAAGGUCAAAGAAUAUGUAAUCCAGCAUGACAUAAAAAGGCAACAAUUUAUAGCAGGGAUGUGAGAUAUGGAUGAGUUUUUUUAUGAUGAUAUGAGUAGGUUACUUCUUAGGAUAGCAGAUUAUGAAAUCCUAAAGCAACCGUUUACUUCCAAUAACUCGCAACAAUUAAGAUACCAACAUGUUUACAAACUGAGAGGCUCAACUAGAAGGAACCAGUGGAUACAAGAAUGUCCACAAGCUUAAGGAACCAAGAAAGGAUCUAUACUCUCAUCCAACAUCAAUAAUCUAUUGCUAUUCAAUGAGCUUCUGAAAAACAGCACUGACUGGAAACCUAUUUUUGUGCAAAGCCGGAGUUAUUUAUGUUCAAUGCAGAAGUAACCGAACAGAAAAAAAAAUGAGUGGACCUCAUACCACCAGGCCAAAAUCCAUGGUACUUGUAAGAAUGUAAAGUUGGCGAAACUUCAAUCCCUCAAUCUCAAAAAUAUGACUUUCUUAGCACCUCUGAGAAGCCCUCUUACUAAUGUUUAAAAAGAAAAACUAAACACAAAAACAGAAGAUUAAUUGAUCUCGUACCCUACUCAUUGCAGGAGCAUUACUUCCCAACAAGCCAUCAUCACCAAGGUUUGCAGCCCAUGCAUUUACAAGGUCAUCAUCAAGUGUGUCAGGCUCAGCAGGCGUUGGUUUGGCUGUUUCAUAGAUAAGAUCAGAAAUGCCAGUGGCAACAGCUGGGUCACUGAGGCCGGUUGAUGCACUUAUAUUAUGCCGAGUGCGGUAAAUGUCAAUGAGUUUUGCACUGUUGAGUGUUUAAAUAUAGAUAAACAAGUAAACAAUAUGAAUAUUGUGAGUACCAAGGCAGAUUAAAGAAAAGAAUAAAAUUAACACCAAUAUUUAGCCACAAAAAUGUAUAAAUAGUUUGCGAUCUAUACUAAAUUGACUUUCAUUUUUUUUUAUUGUUAGCCACAACUAUGUCUGACACAUCUAUAGUGGACAUAAAUUUGUGGGUAAAUAAUUCAAAAUACCCAAAGAAAUGAAACUGAAAUAAAAACCCUACAUCAGACAUGCAUCAAGUUGCCAUGUAAGAAAGAUUGGAAAAAGGAAAAGAAAAGCAAACUGCAAAUAUUACUUGUAACAAAUGAAUUGGACAUUGAAGGUUCAAAGUCCCCAAAAAAAAAAGUAUAACAAUUCAGUAAAAAUGAUAAAAUAGGAGAAAAUUACACUGGCCUCAGUUGAGAUCAGUCCUAAUUAAAGGAGGUAACUGUAAUUUACUCCAAAAAUAAUGUACCUUGUCGGCCCCAAAGGAAGAUAUUUGGCUCUUGGUACAUAACAAAACAGUGAAACAAGAUCUAACAGUCUCUCAUGAGUUUCAUAUAGUUUCUUAAGUUCAUCAUCUGUCCACUCCUUUUUGGCAUUGUCAUGAUUCCGCAUCUCCCUGAAGUAUGAAGGUCCAUAAUAUGUGUUAGAAACCAGAUAUAUGCAGCAAUUGCGAAUAUUAAUAACAUCUUCUUGCUAAAAGUGACAAAUCCUACUCUUACUUUAUCAGCUCAUCUUGUGCACCAUACAUUUCGUCAAGGACUUUUAUCAUAGGACUUAUUAAAGAUCCAAGGCCAGUACCACUAGCUCCUUGAUCUUCUCCAUUACUAACAUGCAUAUCUGCAAGUUGAGACUGCAGACCACCCUGUUCUAAGGUAUGUAAAAAUUCAUAGAUUUGCAGCCUGUAAGGCUCGCCAGAUCUAAUUGCCAUAGUUGUAAGAGCCUGAGCAGCAAUAAUACGAACCUGGAAUAAAACAAAAAUAAAAAUAACAAGAAGAAUUAUGAUGAGCUAUAUUUGAACCAGCAAACCAGUUCAAACCAUUUCUCAAAUUCCACCCCUCCCCUGCUGGAAAAAAAAUUUUUUUUUAAAAGCAGCAAACCAAUUAUGUUCUCAAUUUCAUAGACAGAAAGUAAAUAUAUCCUACAUGUAGCCAAGGAAAAAUACAUUGGGGUAGGUAGGAAACUAAAAUAUUCACAUUCUAUCCUCAUAUAUGGGGAUCAUAUGACCAUGCAAAAUAUGUAUUUGGAAAUAGUACAACUGAAUGAGGUUAACACCAGACACCAAAUUGAAAUGCAAGAUAUCAAUGUGGAAACGUAAGGGUGCUUUUAGAAUCUCUCUCUCAUGAAUUUGUAAUUACAUCUGCAUUGAUGAGCCUUUGCUCUAAUUCCUCAGAUGAAGCCCACAACAGAGAACUUUCCUGAAAGAUUUACUUUUCUUGACUAAGGUUAACACCUGACACCAAAUUGAAAUGCAAGAUGUUGAUGUCAAAAAGUGAGAGUGCUUUUAGAGAGUAUAUCUCAUGAAUCGCUAGGUACAUGGUGCACUGACAAGCCUUUGCUAUAAUUCUUUAAAUGAAGCCAACAGAUAGAAUUUCCUUUAAAACCCGAAUAAGCAAUAGAUCAUGUCCUGCUCCCCACAAGAAUUGCUCCUCUGGUCUUCGACAUGCCAAGUGGUAGUGAUGAUAUGGAUGUUUAACAACCUACUGCUAGGCUUAUAUUGGGUCUCCUAAGUCCCACAGCUCAGCUAUUACUACCAACAACAAGUCUAAUACACAAGAUACAACAGAAUCUAGGAAAUGCCUGUCCUACAUUGCAACCUGCCCCAAGUCGUAAAUGGAAGAUUUGGACAAAGGUUUUCUCCUGAGCUCUAUUGACAUGUGUGGUGGUGCAAUUUGAUGAUGAUUGCAUAGGUUGCCAUGCUACCCAGAUCUAAGAUGCUUCUUUCACCUCUAUAUGCUGAAUAUAGAUGUUCACCAAGCGAAGGUACAUUCUUAAAGCAAGAAACCAACAUAUAUUUCUAUUUCAAAUUGAGAUAUAUUCGUCUAUAUUCACCAGAUUUCACAAGCACGAAGAACAGUUAACUUUUCAAGCCCAUGCAAUGAUCAUUACAGUAUUUGAUCUUACCUCCCAGCUACCACUGAAAGCGCAUCUUUGGAGCCGAGUUAGAGCACCAGCAAGAGUUGGAUUGCGAGAACUUGCAGCAGCAACCAUUUUAUCCGCAUCCAACAUCAUUAAUGCAGUACCAGGAGGUGUAGCUGAUUCCCAAGCAUACUCAGAGGCAGCAUAAUUUGCAUUCUCCCCAAGGAACCAAACCUGCAAUUGCAUGACAAACAUUGCUAAUUGAAGAAGCCAACUUUCAAUAGCUGUUUAGAAAUGAUCAGAAACAUCAUCUUGGAUCCCAUCAAUUAAACACAUUUCUUACCGCUGCUUGGACUAAACGCUGCAAAGCCAAAGCAGAUUUUGGAUCGGAUGCUGAUACCCUGUCAAUUGAGGUAAGCUCAGACAUUGAGCCAGGCUGUGGAGGUGGUAAAUCUAGCACUAUUGUGACUGCCUCGAGAGCUGUGUGCUUUCCAUCAGGGCCAGCUCCAACAAGACAAGUCUGCAAGCAUAAACGCUAUUAAAAGCAGUGUCCUACCAACCACAGAGAGGGGGAAAAAAAAGCUACAAGAGGAAUCAGAGAGAUGGCUUUUAACACAAGAUAAAAGCAUAAAACAAAGCAAGGUAAUUAAUAAAUAAAAAUGUAUUGACAAGAAAUCUUUUCCACCAUUAAUGAACUAACAUUAGGCCUCAAUUUCUGGCAAACGCAGUCCCCAAAUUCAUUGGCUAAAUGAGGUCAACACAAAACUCCUCAAGUUCAUGAAAUCCACAGGCACACAAAACAAACCUCAGACUGUACAUAUUAGCAGACAACCUUACUGGCACUCCUUUAGACCUCUACUCAGAUCAUUUUCUAUACAUGGGUGGUUUGUUGGGAUAUCUGCUCUUUCUAGUUGUACAAUUACUAUUCCACGGGGAAAAAUUAUGGCAAGAAACUUGAUUCUUUUUAGAACCAGAAUCAGCAGUUUAUACAUAUGAUGAUUAAUAUCUUAUAAGUCAGAAUACAGCCUAGUCACAGAAUACCAAAUCCAAGUUGAGAAACAAUCAGUGAGAACCUACUUUCCACAGUAGUUGCAGAACAUCAGCAUCGAUCUUCCCAGGAACUUUGGUAGCAAAAACCCUUGCAAUUUCAAGAAGAGUAACAGCCAUAUCUGGUGUAGCCUAGUAAGCCCAUAAUGAAAAAGAUAGCUGUAAAUAUAUGGCGCCAAAUAAGGGGAGGAAAAUUAUACAAAUGAAUGUAGUCUCAACUUCAGGCAUGCUCAAAGACCUAACUGGUUUAUUGAAUGUAUAUCAUAGAUAAAGAUGCAAACAUACAUAUGCAAUGGAAUCCUUUUCUGACAACAUCUGAGGUUGAAGGGUUCCAAGUUUAAGGUUAGAUAAUUUUCAAUAAAUUUCUCAUACAAGUUGUCCUAUAGGGAAAAUGUAGAAUCACACACUUCAGCAUUCAAUACACUCUUUUGACAAAUUAAAAAUUCUGAUGCAGAUAAACAAGUCCACAUACCUAGUAAAUUAACAUUUAGAAUUUGAGUAACAAAAGCAAAUUAAAUGAACAAGCUACUGUUCCUAACUGUAUUUUAAGUUGAAAAAUCAAUUCAAAUAUUCCAACACAAAAGCAAGGGGGGGUCAAAAAAGUUCAAGGGAGAAUGACUUCCUAAGGCAAAUCCAAGGUCGAUCAGACUGCAAAUCCGUGGUCGAUCAAAUCAAUGCAAGCCAUGUCCAAGACAUUAGCAUUGCAACAGUUCUAGAGGAUAUUGAGGAGCUGAAGGAAGAUUUUGAAGAGUGCAAUUUCUCCUUUGUGUAUAGAGCAGGCAACAUGUGUAGCCAUACACUAGCUCAAAAUGCAAUUAAGCUAGUACAUGAUAUAGAAUGGGACAAUGAGUUCCCGGUAUGGCUGAUGGAUAUAGCUAGGAAAGAUAUGAGGGCAGUUGCCCCUUUUUGUAACUAAUGCUUGCACUAUCAAGUGUUAAUAUAUAAAAGUACUAAUUACGUUUGUUGGAACAAAAAAAGAAUGACUUCCUAAGGCAGUUAACAGAUUUUCCAAAAUUUAGGAAGGCUGGCCUUCUUUUUCCAUCCACCAGCUGUUGAAAGUAGCAGAAAUUGAUUAACUGAGCUUUCAAGGUAACAAAAAGACCCCAGAGCUCAAUACUACGAUUCUCACCAAAAAAAAAACACACACACACACACAGAGUAAAAUUGAUAAAAAAAAAAUCAAGGUGGGCGCAUUACUACAGCCUUAAAUGUCCAACUGGACAUUCAGAACACAGUUUCAACAGAAUUUUGACUCGUCAAAAUCACAUCUCAUUCCAGUGAAUAUCAUGAAAUCCCAAUGACCAAAUAAUUGGAUAAGUUCCCUGCACGCAAAUCUUCUCACAAAAAAAAGGACAAGCAAAAUCUCUAAAGGAUAAGCAUAAAGACUCCUAUAAUAAACCUUUCACGACUUUUUCUCCCAAACCAAAGAAAAUGUAGAAGGAAAUUGGCAAACAAGGAAACAUUGGAACCCAUAGUACAACUGAAAUCACAAAAGAAUGCUAAGCACUGGAGAAAGAAUUCAGGAGAAUUCCCAAAGCCAAUCACAAGCUAAACUGACCAAACUUCCAGAAUUGAUGAGAACCAUAACCCCCAGAAACGGAUGGUAGCAUAGAACGAAAGGAAAGAAAAUGAGAUAGCAUUAGGAAAAAGACCAUGUUACCAGUUCUACAUGAAACCACAGAAUAAUGUCUAGCAAUUCGACGAAGUAGUCCAAGAAGCCAAUGAGAGACAAAAAAUUCAACUAUAUAUCAACCCUAUAGUUUUUGAUAUCCUAACUCUCACGCCAACUCUUUGCUAAACAGAAAAAGCUUCUUCCAAUGUGCAGCAAAUCCAUGAAGGAUCUCAGUAAUUGUGAAAACUGAAGCAGAAGAUAAUAAAGACCUAUUUUGGCCAAUUAGUGGCAUAAAAAUACCUUACAGAUAUACAAGUGAUUCAUCCAAUUCCCAAAGGACAAAAUAUCAAUAUAAGUUUUACUUUUGUCACCUGCUCAUUUACAUACCUUAAAACGAGCGUGCAAUGUAAGCAAUAUAUCAUUUAGUAAUGUUGCUGGCCAAGAUGGAUCAGAGAGCUCGGAUGCAAUGAUGGAUUCUAGUUCACCAAAUGAUUCAUGUGGACUUUGCAUCCAUAUGAGAGCUUUUAUUACCAUAGCACGAACAUAAACACAUUCACAUGCAACAGUUGUUCGUACCACCUCCAUCAGGGAAGCUAAUAGGCCUGCAAUUGUGUCCUUGCCACUUGUUCCAUUAGAUACCGAGGAAACGCGACGAAGACCUAACAAAGAAGAGAUCAGAAGAGCAAAAAUAAAAAUUGCUUACACUUUUAACAGAUAGACAAGGUUAAACCACUGGUCAUUAACAGUUCUCUCUCAGCAUAAGCUACACAAGUACAAAAGAACUAAAACCUUUUCAGUUUUUCAUUGAUUGUACUUAUUUGCUUUAUAUGGGACACCAUUACUCCAUUUGAUUUUUUUUUUUUUUAAAAAAAAGCAAAUAAAAUCUUGAAGCCUAGAACGGGGAGAUAUAAAAUGUUCAAAAUUCUAAAUAAAAUGUAUCACUGAAAUUAGUUUCCAGGCAUAACAGCACAAAAUACAAUGCAGAUUGACCUAUGAAGAAUUUACUAACCAGAUAAGCUAUCACCAUAAUUUACAGAACAAAAAUGGCCAGUGCUAUCUAACCGAGAUUUAGCUUUUCCUGUUGGAUAUUAUCUUCCUUCAUGUAAAACCAAAAGUAUAUCCACCAACAUCUAUUUAUACACAUUCUUGGAAAUUAAAACAUAAAAUACUAGGGUUUUGACAUUGACAAAUAUAUGGGCCCAAGCAAAAGGGAAAAGAAAUGAAGAACAUCAAGAUUAGCAAGGCCAGCUACAGAUAUUAGAAAGUUAUAUCAAUCCUGCAUGCACUCAGUUCACAACUAAGAGCAAAGGACAUCAUACAUAAAAAGCCCGUGGUUUAUGUGCAUGAAACUUUAAUUACACAGACACAAAUAACUAUGUAUAAGCCCUUCACUGAUCCAUGAUACAAAAGAUGUAAAUAUUAGAUUUAAUAUUAGUAAUCAUGGAAAACCAUAUCAAGGAGUCUGCAAGUAAAAACUAUGCAGAUACAUGACACAACCAAAGAAUAACCCAAGCAAAACAUCAUUGAAGAAAACUUCGUAAACGACAUAGAACUACAUCAUGCAUCAUAGAGAUGUUUCAUGGCAACAAACAUGGAGUCGAACACCAAGCGAUUAAAAAGCAAAGAGAAUUAAGAUAUUAUGACAAAGUUGCUACCCUCAGAUGUCUCAUUCAGAUCUUGAUCAUAUGAAUCACUACUUUCAGAGAAUGAAUUAAUGUGAACUCCUUCAUCUAUAUCCUGUAAACCAACAGCAAAAGCUGCAGCACGGCUUUUCCCCAUUUCCUGCACAACCCUAGCUGCAGCAUGAAGUACAGGACGAGAGAAACUACGGAAAGAACUCUCCAACCUGCAAAAAUAUAGCAGCAGUCAAACAAUUUUGGUAUCAUAAUGACAUUUGACUAGCUCAGUCCACAAAUAACUAUAUUCCGGAAAAAUAAGUCCAUAUAGAAUUUCAAGCAAAGGAGAAACGAACGAACCUCCUCAUUACAAGUUUUAUGAGCGGUUGAGGCCGCUUUGUCUUUGAAGAUUUUUCUUUAGAGCUCUUUGCAGGAGCAGCAUCUUUAGAAUCAGCCUUUGUCUCUUUCACAGAAGGUGCUUCAGGAAGCUUAAGAAUCUCUCUUGUCAGACGAUACCAUCCAACAGCUCGUUCCUCAGUCCUACAGAAAAUCAAAGCAAGAAGACAAAUGAGAAGUACUGAAGAUACCAAAACGGGAAGGAUCUGAGAUGCUGCAGCAAAUUCGACAAACUAACUAUCAAGCAGAGCUGAGGAAAAAUUGAAUUUGGAAUAAACAGUAUACCUCUCUGCAUUAUCCAGCUUUCCUAAUACACAGAGGAUAGCCUCAAAACAAACUCUUUCACUGGGGUCAAGGAGGAGCUGAUAGAGCACGGAACUAAACUGAGACCUAAUAUCUGGCCGAUCUGCAUACAUGUCCAUGUAAUCUUUCAAUGCUUUCAUCUUUAAACAAUUAACAAGCUUGCAACAUAGAAAAAUGAGAAGGGAGAAAAAGGAGGGGAAAAAAAGUAAUAAGUGAAAAUUCAUGGUGUUGUGCAAGGUACUCUGAAAUGGACAUACCAUCUAGUGAUCGAGCUCUAGAAAUCGUAUGGCACAACCUGGCUAAUGCAACUCUUGCAAGAACGUCAUGCAAAUGAAGAACAUCAUGCAGAGCCCCUGAUUAUACAAAUUAUUGGAAGUAAUUUUGGAUCAACAGAAACCAAUGCCAGUUAACAUAGAAAACAUGACAAUUGAAAGGAAAUUAUCACACAUACCACCAGGUUGCACAACCUUUCCUGCAAAGAGAAAAUUUAGGCCCAUAAGGAUGACUUCCAAAACUAAGGCCAAAAUAAACUAGACCACCAUGUUUUAUGAAAUUGAAAAAUUAUAAUUACAAUUCAUAUGUUAAAUUCACUAGAAACAGAAAAAAGGUUCUCAACUUUGCAAUGUAAAAAAUACCAGAACAACAGAAUGAGCAGGAGAUGCCUAAAUUGCAUUAAAAAGAAUUAUCCUAAAACAGGCUACUAUGUCAGUGACCCAAGAUUCCAAACAACUUACCACACAUGACCACAUUUAAUUCCCUAUUUGGGCAUCCCAUUUAAUUUACAAGUGAAAUCUUCUCCCCAUACUAUACACUUUUAUACACAACAAAAUAAUCAGUUAUGGAAUAUUUCAAAGUCCAUUUAAUGAACCAGGGAAAAGACAGGAAGUAAAAUCGUAAUAAUGAGAAAAGGGGUUUAACAACAAAGGUAAAAUUCACAAGCCAAUAAUAAAAUCAAAAAGUUGAAAAAGAAAGUUCAUGGUACAGCAGCUCAAUAAUAUGUUUAGUGCUGGAGCAUUGAUGCAACAAGCAAAUUUUACCAGAUAUAUUCUUAAGUUUUGUUUAAGGUCAUGCAUUCAAAAUGCAUUCUUUUCUUGUGUUUUUCUUUUCAUGUAGUAGUUCUAGAACAUUAUGUUUGUUAACUUUUGCCAUAACUCAAACUUCAGAGUCAAAUACAUAUCCAUUUCAGAUUGAAUCCAAAUGGCAGACAUGUCUUUAAGAUUAAUUUAAGAUUUUAAACAGUUUCAUUUACCCAACGCCAUUGCAACAGCAUAUGGAUCGCUUGUGCCUAGUUCAGAUAGAAUUUCCAAAGAAUGCCUAACAGCUACUGGAUCAGCAAAUGAAACUCUGCAACAACAAAGGAAAACAACAUGACAAACAGUGUUAGAUAUGCAAGACGGAAAAUCAUUACUCAUAAAUCUCAACAUUAAAGGUCAAGAUAAAUUUCUGUACCAAAAUACUAUAGCAUGAAAAUAAACCCUUAAAACUGAACCUUGUUUCAGCAACAUUUGUUUACCAAUGCGUCAUAUGCAGAAGUAAAGAAGCAGAGAUACAGAAAAAGAAAGUGGGAUCAGGAACAAAGACUUGGCAGGGAAUGCAGAUUUCAAGAGCUAGUGCAAAUAAGAGAUAAUGCCAAAGAAGAAAAUUUUAAGUACAUGGAGAGCCAAAACAUGUUAUUUGGUAAAAACACUGAACCAAUGAUUUCCAUUUGAGAAUUAUAACGCAAUCUUUGUAAUAAAGCAGUUGCCUGAACAAGUGAAUGCAGAAACUUUAUCACGACCAUAAUUUGGGAACAAAGGUAUCACAAGCUACACAAACUACUUUAGAUUGAUAAAUACUGCCAAUUUUUCAGUGGAUGGAACUUGGAAGUGGCAUAUAUUUACAUCCAUUGAGCAAGAUAAUUACGGAAAAAUCGUACAGUGAUAACAAAUUAAAGGCAGAUCUGCCUACAAUGGAUAGUCCUCGAGUCCUUAUUUGAGGUCAAUAUGACAUGAGAUCAAUUAGGCCUUGAAAUUUGAGAUCAAAACAAGGACUUUUCUGGGCCUGCAUUUUGAUAAAGAGAUCCACCAGAAUAGGGAAAGAAAAAAUAACAGGAAAAGGAAUUAAUGCUUUCAGCUAUAGCUGGAUAGCUUGAUGUAUUCCUCCCAACAAAAAGUUUCCAAAAGCAUCAUGAAACCAAAAGGACCAAAUAAUAUUAUUUCUCCAGUCUACAAUUGAAUAGAUACACCAAGAUCAUGAACUAAUUAUGAUACACUUGGAAUUUGUAGAAUAUCCACAAAUAAACAAAACCAACCUUAGAACUACAAAGAUGCUAUUGUUGCCUAAAUAUUUACUCAUCCUAGAAUAUGAUUCUGUAGAAAGUCUUCAAGAGCCGCCUUUCAAGGUGAAUCAAUUUCAAAAAAAAUCUUCCUAAAAUUAAUCCUUCCAAUAUUGCUAGAAUUUCCUGGGUUGACACAUCUGACAUUCUGAAAUGAAUUCACAUAUUAGUUAGAUAUAAAUUGGAAAACAUGUAAGAUCAGUAUGUUGGUUAAUCCACAUUUGCAUAUAUCUAUCCGACCACCUUGUUGGAACUCCAUUAUCCAAAGCUUGGAAUUAGUACAUUACUAUGUAUUUAAUUACAAAAGAGUGAAUAAUGUUCUAGGAUGAACCAACAUGACCAAGGCCUCCAACUUGCAAGGAGUAACUUUUCUUGAACAUUCAAUGGCAGUAGUGAAAACCUUACAUACUAACAUGAAUAAAAAGUUCCCCUGAUCCCGUUCACCUUUAUUACUGAAAUAUCAUCACAGCCAAAAUGCAAAAGAAACUACAGCUGCCAUUCCAUCGAGCAAUAGAAACAAGAUAAAAUAAAUAGCUGACCCUUGUACAGCACGAUGAAGAAAUGCUGGAUUUCCUGGAUCAAGAGGAAGUCUUCUCAAAGCACUUAUGGCAGCAUAUUGCAAGUUACUUCGAAUGAUAGACUGAGACAACAUAAACAGAACAAAAAAAUCAAAAUCACACUUCAGUAAAAGUCAUGUAUCAAAUAUAGAUCAACACCAUGAUAUCCAAUGUAGAAAGGUCAUCUUUGACUUGACACAUCCGGCUAGUUUACUUCUAAUACAUUGAGAAGUUUAUAUGCUUUUGGUUUCACAAAAGCCAAACUUCUUCCGUCAUGGAGAAAAGAAGAGCUUUUACUGGAUAGAGAGAAUAAGAGUCAUAUUUCCUAGCAUCAUUAUCCCCAAUUGAGAAGCUGUAUGAGAAUGAUCUUUCCAUUUCUCUAGCAUCCAAAACUAUUUGUCGUUCUUAAAAAUUUGAGAAAAAUAAGCCAAUUUUGUCCAGAUAAAGUCUAUUUCAUUCCAUAAAAAAAUCUUUUCCCAUUUCUUCAAAGCAAUCUGAUCAAAUCAUACACCCAGUCUCUAUCAUGUUAGAAGCUUAGUCCAGAUGGAUCUACUGCAAACACAACUAAGAACUCAGUAAAUGCAUAAGUCAGAUGCCAUCAGACAAAAUUAUUGAUAAUUUAUACAGGGAAAUAAUGAGAAUCAUGAACAUGAAAAAAAUAAAUAAAUAAAUGAAUGGAAAGAAAAAAUCAUGAAUUUUAACGACUUUGGUUGGGCUGAUUAAUACUAGGAUACCAGGAAAAAACGAAAAACCAAAUAAAGCAGAAAAAUUAUUAAGUGACGGAAGUGAGUAACAUACUACCUCUUUGUCGCCUCCUUUUGCCCCAAAGAUGCCUUUCUUGCGUUUUUGAGGGUCAGCAACCUAAAUAACAAGCGACAAUUAAUAUAGCCAUACAGCUUUCAGUUCACACUCAAACUAUCUAAUCAUAUAGUAUAGAAUCUCAUCAACAACUAUGCAAAACAUAGAUGAAUUAAAAAACAAAUUCUCUAAUUGUCCAUCAAACCAAAAAGUGUUUCAGGUACAAUAUUUGGGAAUGUACAACAUCUACGAAGGUCUACUCUAGUUACCACCAUGGGGGCAGUUAAGAAAAAAAAAAUUCCAGUUUUCAGAAGAUUGAUUCAUGUCCUUCUAUGAUGUGCAUGACUAAUGCCCACACUUCAGAGGUCAUUAAAAAUUUCCUUUCAGAAUAAAUGGAGAUAACACUGAUUACUUUCACAUCUGUGUUUUUUCUCUCUUUUUUACACCUUCUCUACUCCUCUUUUUAGUCUAAAUAUUACGUCAAAUCUUUGAAAGCAUCAGCCAUUAACUACUAUGUCCAAGCACAAAUCCUAUACCAUCCUCUACUUAGCCCGUUAAAGAUGCAUCCAACGUAAAUCGGAUUUUAGGUCCUUGCUUUCCUGUUACAUGAGCUCCAGUAAGAUCCAGAUCAGACUGUCAUUCAUGGAUUUAUUUUCUGUUAGCAUAUAUUAUCUAUCUGCCUUAAAAUUGGAGCAGAAAACAACUUUUAUAGUGUAAUAGACUCCAAUAUUCAAUUUCUUGAGCAGAACCUUUAGAAGUCAACAUCUUUUCAGGAAAAACCACAGAUCUAAGUUGCAACCAAUCUAAACAGGUUCACGCCCAUAAUAGAGUAAGAGUAGCAAAGAACUGUCAAAAGAGCAAAAGCUACUCAUCUUUCCAAUGUGCGUGAGAGAGAGAGAGAUAUGAGGCAUAUAUCUUUUGCAUCAAGACAAACCUUAUCUAGAAUGCUAAACACAAUCUCAUACAACUUGGUCAAGAUUUCAGAGCUGCUGGAAGGAGCAUAUGUCAGAGCCUUCAAUGCUUGGAGCCUUCGUGGAUGAACUUCACAUGUGAAAAGAGAUAUCAACAAUGGAUAAACCUUAAUAAAAACCGUAGAUGAUAGGAAGAUGGAUUUUCAAGGUAAGAUAAAUGAAUCAGUUGAUGCUUACAAGAUUACCUUAAUCUAUUAUAUUCACCAUUCCUAUCUGUUUCUAUCCAGAUAAUUGCCUUUAUGCAGAAGGAAAUGUCAUUUACUCUAACCACUUGAGUUCCCGUUGAGCCGGAAUACUACCUGCCCCUCAAAUGGAAGCACACAUGACUGGGACAAAAUUAUGACAGUCAACUAAAGCCAUAAAUUUAUCAUCACCAAUUCUUAGCCAGUUUUAUCGGCCCUACCCCGCAUUGAUCAGGCACAAAGAAAUGAAGUUUUUUCAGAAGUAACUACAUUGAAGAAAUUUAAGAGCUCUCUGCUGAUUCAUGGAUUAUAAGCUCCUAUACCACUUUACACUAAACAUCAGCAUCAACCCAUAGCAUUGACAAGGCACAACCAAAAGGAAACUAAUUAGAAGUAACUGAAGUAAGAAGUUAUACCCAAAAGAAAAAAUCUCAUAAAUAAAAUAAGACAGAGAUUGAGAGACACUUUACAUUCAACAUCUUCAUUUAAGGCCUCAGAGGUUAGCCGAUCUACAAUUCUAGGUACAACAUCAGCUCGUGUCACUCCGCCUACAGCAUCAAUGUCAGCUAAAGCAUCCCAAUUAGGAGUAGGAAUCCCACCGCCUGGACUCAAACCUUGUGAACCAGUGUCUGAAAGAAUUCUGGCCAAGUAAUAAUAAACAUAACGCAGAACAGUCCUAUCCUCACACUGCUGAUCAAGCUGCCAGCCAUAAGAAGAUAGAUAAGGGAAAAACAGUCAAUUAACAUUGACUUUGGCAAAAUAAAUACACAGCAAAAUCCAACACAUCCAGUUGAACAUAUUUUCUAACAGUCAAUUUUUUAUUCCCACAGACAACAGCAUAUUAAUGUAAUCUAUGUGAAGAAGCAAUUUUUAAUUGUCAUAUCCAAUUUAUCAAGAAAAUGCAUAUCAAGUUUAUCACUUCACUGACAAGCACAAUAUCUACCUCCUAAAGUAAAUCUACAACGGGUGAAGAUUUUUCUUGGACCAUACAACCUUUUCUACUAAGCAUCUGCAAUGUAUUGAAGGCAUAACAAAAUAAAACCAAAAUUUUCUAAAGGCUCAAAAAGCAGAAUUUUUAUAGAGUGCCCAGAAAAGUAAUAUAAAAGAACUGAAUUCUCGAGUUACAGCCAAAAAGCUAGACGAUUUCAAGGCAAAAGAAAGGCCUCUCUAAAACUAUCUAAAGCAUUCCUCGACUCCUAUACUUGAGCACUACUACUUGAAAGGCCAUCCAACACAAACUUUAACUUCCUCACAAGCAGCAAAAAAUCCAUAUUGCUUAGUACUGUGUCUGAAGAAUUGCUUAGUACUGUUUCUAAAUUUGUUACCAUUCACAGAACAUCAGGUCUACAUUCCUAAUAUCCAUGAAUAGCAAAAGUCUAGCUCUCCUGGUUCACACUGGUACUGCAAAUAAUGAGAUGCCCACAAGUACAAUUUUAGUGGCUAAUCUCACAAGAAAGAGAUCCCAAAAAAAGGGCUGCAAGAAUUGAAAUUGACAGGACCAUCAUCGCACAGCUUAUAUAUUUUAUGCCCUCUGCACUACCCAGCUCUAAACUCAAAAAAAAAAAACAAAAGAAUAAAUUGUAAAUGACUGCUCCAGAAAAAGUCCCCAAAUUGACAUGCACAAGCAAAAUAAAUCACAAGAAUAGUCAGACGCAAAUGAAAAGCCAAGCUUAGACGAGUGCUACACCACACGCACUUCCCCUUGUUGUCAUUACAUUUUCUUAUGCUCAUUCCACCCAUAUAGUCCACGAAAAUCUGCAACAUUACUCGUGAAUCAUAUAAAUGGACAUUCUCAAUUUCCUUCCUGCGCCAUGUUCCUUGCAUCAGCUACCUAAACUUUUCCUCGAGCAAAGCAAUUAAAGGUCGAAAGAGAAAAACAAAAUGAAACAAAAGAUCCUCCUACGCUUUUUCCUCAUCAGAUUCCUUCUCAUUAGCGUAAAGGCUCCACAUCGGUUAAGGAUGCCUCAUAUAACAAUAGAAUGCUACAGUAGUUAAAGGCACUAAGCUCUUCUAAAAUGUUUUAAGUUCUCAAGGCUCUGAAAAAGAAGGAUUAAACUAUUGCACUACUCUACAGGUAAUUGUCCUUAAACUAAUAUAGUAUCCCAUCAAAGUCUCUUCCUCUAAAUCACAGUAAGUCCAGUUUGUGAUGCCAAUGCCACCAACAUGAACUUCUUGCCCAAUAAAGAUCUGAUUACCAACUAGUCACCAAUCAAUUCCCAUCUUUGGAUAGUCAUUCUACAUAAAUUGAAUUGAAUGUCCCUAAAGCUUAUUAGAUUUAUGAAGGUCAUUGAUUUAUCACAAAUAUAGGAUACCAGUAAUCUAUCUCAUGCUCCAACACUUUGCAUCUCUGUACUAAUUGCUAAGAGCAAAGUGUGAUUAUGACAAAUGAAACUCCUAUUGGCACUUUAAAAUCUAGAAAACUCAAAUUUAGUGCAUCCCUGCUGCUAUUUAACUAUUUCAAGUUCAAAAUGUGCACAGUACAACUGCAGUAAGCCAUAUGCCGACAUCAAAAAUCACACUGAUCUCUCACGAUAUUCUCAACUAACUUCCUACAGAUACAAAUAUGUUUAAACUAGCAAUCAAAUGACCUAUUGUUGUAGUUAGUACUAUUUUGUAAAUGUCUAAAAUGCCACAGAAUAUCAGUUCUGGCACAUACAGCAGUUUGCUUGCAAAAUGAUUCAGAAAUGUCCUUAACGCUAUCACACAUGUUCAGUAUAUCAUGCUUAAUGCUCCAAAACAAGCUGCACAAGGAUCCAAAAGUUGCAGGCACAUUUAAUAAUCUGGCUUCAUACCAUGAGAAGAGAUGGUGCCAAAGAUGGAUCAACAGAGUUGUAGACAGCCAGUUUGGGAAACACAUGAUGGACCAAUUGCCUCUGGGAACUUUUCUACAAACAAUUCAAAAAAAAAAACAGAACUUUUUCAUUAAACUUAACCCGGAAAAAUAUACACGAGUUUUCCAUGUCAAAAUAGAUUAAACACCAGCAUACUUGAUCAGAGGCCGCUGCUAAUUCAUGAAUGCUCCUCGCCAAUUGUGCAUAAGAAACAGGCUGAAACAAAAGAAUAAAACAGGCAUUACUAACAACAUAACACAAGCUUAAUCACAGCAUUGAUUCUCUACUCAUCUUGUUCAAUGAAUCUAAAAAAUUGAAAUAAAUCCCAACAAACUCACAGAAUUUCACCUAACUAUGCUUAGUGAAUAACCAAGCAAGCAAUUGUAAGCUAAAUUAGUACACUUAUCUAAAAUUCCAACAUAAACAACUAAAAUUCAGAACGAUAGAAUAUGCAACUCACUUAUCAAUGCCCAAAGUAGUAAAGCAGAAGUUUUACUCCUUUUUUUUCACCUCCAAAUAAAAGUUCACUUCCAACAAAAUUACAAGAGAAAUCUGAAAAAAAAAAACCACAACUUUUGCGGAAUGAGCAUUUCUAUACCCUUUUCUUUUGCUUUUGCGGCAUAAUGUUAGCUCUGACAGGGUUAAGAGCAGCUUUGGCAGCGGAAAUCGUAUCGCUUUGGAUCUGCAUUAACGUUCCUUUCUUCGAUUUCUUAUCCACCACCACCGGAAUCGGCGCCCCAAUAUUUGCUGUCGUAGUUUGGGGCGGCGGUGCUGUCGAGGAAGCAGUAGUUGAAGCCGCCGACGACGGCACUGUCGACGACGGUUGGUCCGACGUGAUCAGAUCCAUCAGCGUCGUCCCCGAAGAAUCCUGCACACGUUUUUUUUAACGAUUCUGAAAUUAGAAACUAAUUUGACGAACAAAUCAUAGUAUAUAUCAUGAAAUCAGUGAAAUUUGAAGUGUAUUUUCAGUUUUCAGAGGUUUAUUUCCAUUUCUUGUCGAGGCAAAUGAAGAGGCGAAAGGAUCUGAGAAUGUUUACCGCCAUGAUUUGGGGUUUAUCAGAAGAGGAGCAGAGAUCAGAAGGAGCGAAAGAUCAGAAUUCGACCUGGUUCAACUGGUCGUUAGUAAAUUAGUUUCUUCUCUUGGCCCCAAAAAAAAAAAAAUGUAUUAGCUUAAUUACAUUUUGGUCCUUCAAAAAUGGUCUGAACUCUGAGUUUGGUCCCUUCAAAUGGAAAAAGUUUCGAUUUCACACUUUAAAGUAGCAAAACAUUUCAAUUUCACACGUCAAAUGAUAAACGUACAGCUUGUACUUUAAGGGUUCGUUUGGGAGUGAAGAUUUGGAUAGAAAAGAAAGGGAAAGAAGAGAAAGUUUACUUUUGCUUCAUUUGUUAGUUUUAAGUAGGAAAGAAAAGAAAUGGAAAGAUGAAUAGUUAAGAAAAUGCUUCCUCCCAAAUCGGAAAGAAAUGGGAAGAAAGUUUGGAGAAAGCUUGAUAUUUUUUUUAAAAUGCCUAUUUUGUCCUUAAAAAGAUUUUGAACAAAUAUUUAAUGAUUUCUAUGUCCAAAAUCAUUUCACUAAUUCUCAAAACUCCCAAACAACAUAACAAUCUCUUCCCUUCUUUCAUAACUUAAGCUUUCCCUUCUUUUCUUUUCUAUCCUAAACUCCCAAACUAAGCCUAGGUGUAUCUUGUAACUCAACAAACCAAAAUACAUAUUCUAAGUAGAAAUUGCAAGUAGUAAGACUAGUUCCAUACUCUUGUAGUUACUAGCAGAUCCUGUGAUUGAUCCUCGGGUGCUACCUCGUUGUGUAUCCUUGGAGUAAGACACUACAUACUUCUGGAGAAUUAGUAUAAUCGAAAGAUUGUGAUACUUUUAGAUAGAAAAAAAAAAACACUAUUAGGGGAUUAUGGGAUACCCCUAGGUGAAAAGAGUGUAGGAAGGAGUGUUAUGCUAUGCCUUCAACAGUGGUUGGAUAAAGAGCGAGAAUAUUUCUAAUAAAUUUUUUUUUUUUUUUUUGAGAAGAGGUGUCCUGAAUGUGCAAAAGAUAUAAGGAUGGAAUUUUGAAUUUUUGUAGGAAUUUUGUGAAGACUAAGACUGUUAAAUUUUUGUUUAGCUCUCAUUGCUCUAAUAUCCCUUUUGAGGAGAGCAAUUCAAUUUUGUAGGGUCAUUGGUUUGGCAGGGAAUUUGUCAAUGGGAUACUCCUAGGUUAAAAAAAAAAUUCUCAUAGGGUAUGAGUUUGAUCGAAAAGAUGAAAUACCCUACGUGAAAAAAAAAAUAGAAAUCACGAGUAAAUAGUAAGUAUUUUUGUAAUAGAUCUAUAGCUAAGACCCCUGUAACGUCUUGGCUAAGACACUACGGUGCACAUAUAAAAAUUUUUGCAUUUUUUUUUUCAAUCAUUAAAUCAUAUCAUCUCUCACUUGCCUAUGGGUAGCCAAUGUCUUGUCUUUUUUCCUUUUUCUUCCAAUGUCUCACUUUCGUCACACACCUAUUGUUGCAUUGCCAUUAAAUAGGUGAAUAUGAUUCAUGUUUUUUUUAAAUAAGUAGAAUAUCAAUCUUGCUUUAUUUCCAAUGUUCCUGUGCUACUUUGGUAUAUAAAGUUUGAUCAUCUACUCCUUUUUUCUAAGAAUUAUGCUAUUCUAUUUGUGGGGGCAAAAGGUUAUUGAUACGACCCUUUGUUCUUCUAUGGAUUUUAUUCAUCAAACAAAUUCAAAAUCUACAUUUCCAUGACCGCAUCAAUGGCGAUGUCGACCGGAAAACUUUUAUAUCUAAUUUGAUUGAUGCCUUUUUAUUAACGUCACUUGAGAAAGGAUCAUGAAUGCUAAAUAUUUGUAAUAGUUUGGUUUGAAUAUAUGCGUAAUUUUGUUGCAAUAUUUUUGCAUACAUAGGUAGAGAUUUAAUUGGAAAGUUAGUCUAGAGGGCUACUUUGUCACUACAUCUAUAGACUAUUGCCCCCCCCCCUUUUUCUUGCUAAUUAGACAUCCAUUUUUUGAGUUACUUUCCUUUUGUAACAAAUAAAUGAUACAAAAAAACAAGGGAAAAUGUAUGGAAGAGAGAGAAAAGCUAAAAACUACAUGUACUUAUUCUUUUAUCUCUCAUCGUGAAUCUAUUAUUAUUACCGAAGGAAAAAAUUAUUCAAUACGUGAGAUACAUGAAUCAUUGCUAUAAUCUUGAUAUUUUCAAGUUAUUAGUUAUUACUCAAUUUGAUUCACUUCUCUCUAUACAUUUAUGCUUUCACUCAUCACAAUGUAUUUCUUAGUUUCAAUUUCUUCAUAAGCAUGACAAAAUAUAAAAUUUCCCUACCAAGAAUUGGGUGAAAGCUAGUUUAUGAAGAAAAUAAUUUUGUGCCAUUUUUAUAUAAUAAGUGGAUUAAAUUUAUGAUUACUAUUACUUUUGUACUCUAAUAGUGAUGACAUUUACUUUUUUACAUUUGUUGUAACAAAUUCUUGUAAUAAGAUGAUUUUUCAUUUUAGGCAUUUUAACAAAAAAUUGGAGCAUAUGAUAAACAAAAACUUUGUUUGCUUGAAAUCAUUCUUUUUUGCAUUGAGGUGUUUUACUCUCUGUUUGGAUGAGAGUUUUUUUAGAGAUGUUUUUGAAAAGGGAUAAGUUUAGAAAUAUCCCAUGAGGUUUUGACAAAUUUACUUGCCUCCCUUCAACUUUUGAAAAUCUCAUGCACCUUUCCUAACUGAGAAUUGGGACCUAUUACUGAGAUAAUGUCUGGCAAAAUGACUAUUAUAUCCACAAUCUUGAUAAUAUUAAUUUAACAAUUCCUUAAAAACCACUAUUGGAACGUAUUUGAAGAUUAAACAGAAAAUUGGCCAAUUGUUUUCAGUAGAUUGAUGGAAUUUCUCCCCCAAACGACACACUUUUCUAAUAAUUACGUACCAUUAAAAAUGUAUCCUAUAUCAUUUAAUUUUUUUUUAGGUCUUUUGCUUUUGGUCUUUGUAAUUAGUUGAAUUACUUUGCAAAGUUAGCCAUUGAUUAGUUUGAUCAGUUUAACUUCAUUAAUUCAUCUGCUACAUACUUAUUUAAAUUUAUGCCCAGACUUUUGGUUUUUGUCUGCCAGGAUUUAAUUCAUUUAAUAAUUUAUCAAAAUAAACAGUUGCAAUGAUUAGAAAAGGCUUUUUUUUCCCACUAAAUUUCAUUCUCUCUCCAAAAAUUUUUUUCUAUUCAAAAUUUUUAUUUGGGCUGACAUGUUACAUAAUAGUUUUAAAUAAGGGAGCUAAGCAAGAUUUUCAGAAGUUGAUAAUAAGCAAGUACAAUUGUUAGAAGACUCAAUAGAGGUUUCUGAAAUUAUCCCUUUUAUAAAACUUAAAUGAUAGAUGUGUGUAUAACUAAAACACUUAUAUAGGGUGUUUUAGAAGUGAUUAAUUAAUGUGUUUGGUAAAAAUGAACGUUUUUCAAAGUGAUAGUGAAAUUACUUUCCCAUAUCUCAACCCUCUCCUUGCUCAUUUUCCUACCCUUUCUCUUCAUCAUUCCUCUCCAUCCUUCUCCCAUCCUUGGCCUACCACCAUUACUUCUCCCAUUUCCCUUCAUUCACUUGUCAUUUCCCUCUUUCCCAAUUUCUCUUCCGUUCCCAUUUCUUUUCUUUCUCCUCAUUUAUUCCUUCCCUCUUACAUUUCAACCAUUACACUUUUUUCCCUCUCCCGAUCUAGUCAUGCAAGAGUGCGGGGAAGGAAGAAAAAUAAGGAGUGAUGAAGGAUGUGGGAGAAGAAAGAAGAUGGAGGGUGGUACAGAAAAAUAUUAAGAAAAAGGUAGAAAUGAAAAGCGGCAUAGGAAAAAGGAAGAAAAGAGGAAGGGGAAAAGAAAAUAGGCUGAGUUGCCAGGAUUUAGAUAAUAAGGGAUAGAGGGAGAUUGGUGAUUGGUAUGAGAAAGAAGUGUGAUGUAUUUUUUGAAUUAUUGGUUUGUGUGUUUUAAAUUAUUAUUUUGAUGUUCUUGAGAUAUUUUUAGUAUGUUUUUCACAGGUGUCACUCUAAAUGUAUGUAUAACACCAUUGUCAAAAAGCAAUAAUCCAGCAACACAUAGUUACUCAUUUCAAAUACAUUUUAAAUACAUCUCAAAUACACCUAUCAAAAAAUGCCAAAAAAUAACAAAAAAAAAAAAAAGAAAUCACCGUCCCUUUCUCCCUCUACCACUAUCCUCUCACUCAUUUCCUUAGCUUCCCCUUCUUCUUCUUGCUCCUUAUUAUUUCCUACCGUUGCCCUUUCCCUCUCACUUCUUCUCUUUCCUCUCGUCCUUUCUCUCCCACUUUUUCCCUUCAUUUCUCGCAACCAUGUCUAAUUGUAAGGAAAAAGGGGAGGGGGUGGAAGGAAAAUGAUAAGAGAGGAGAGAAGAAGAGGGGAAAAGGAACAUGGAGGAGAUAAGCGAAAGAAAAGAGAAGAGGAGAAAGAUGAAAAACGAGAGUAGAGUAGAGGGUAAGAAGGAGUGCUAUUGGAAGCAAACGGGGGACGAGGGUGGUAGAGAUGAGAGGAGUGAGGUGGAAGGUGAUUGAAAUCAAGAUUUUUAAAUCGAGAUCUUACUUUGGAUCGUUUUAGAAGUUACAAGAUCGAAUCAUAGAUAGGUUAGAAUCGUAAGAUUCAAUUGAAAAAAAAAAAACAAAAAUCAACAUUUUAUUAAUUUAUAAUCUUAUUGUUCAUAAAAACAUAUGCAAAUAGAUAUAGAAAAAUGCAAUUGUAACUAAAAAAAGAAAAGUUCUUCAACUUAAAUGUAUUAUUUAUAGUAUUAUAUGCGUAUAGAUAAAAGUUUGAGUUGCUUUGGAAUUUAUUUAUUUUUUGGCUAAAAAUUUAGAAACUAUAUUUUAUUGGUGUAAAUUAAUGAAAAUAAGAUUUUGAACUACAAAUUAUUAAGAAAUUUCCUAGUUCAUAUUAAAAAAACCAUAGUUGAGGUAGGGGAAAAAUUUUCAAAAUAUCCCGAAUAAGUUAUAAAUAUUAAAUACACUAUCAAAUACAUUUAUAUUAAAAAUUGCUCCACCAUUGAUUUUUUCCACAAUACCCUCAAAAACACCUAACACAAAACGAAGUUAUUUUUUCAAAACAAUCAAAUCCAAGCAGAGCCUCAAAUUUCCAUCAACAUUCACAUCUCUCCAUGAUCAAUCACAUACCAAUCCAACAACCAAAAAUCUCUCAUCAACAUGGUAUGGGUCCUACAUUAUUCACUAUCAUUUCACAUCCAAUUAAUACUAGCAUUUCACCGGCAUGCAAUGCAUAAAAUUUUCCAAAGUCUGAAGUAAUUAGUCCACUCUUAGUCUUUAGUCUCACUUCACAAACAUUAAUGAAGUUCUCUAUUCUACAGCAAAGAAAAAAAAAAAGCCAAAAACCAAAAUUUCUAGUCAGCCAAGGCCCCACUUGAGAACAGCCACCACACUAAUGAGCAGCCAGUGCUGAAUCUUUCCAUCAAACACCAUCAAACUUACUAAGUCACAUGAUCAUCAUAGGCAUCAUCAUCAUCGGACGGUCCAAUUUCACCCAAUGUGGGUCCGAGGAAAAUGUGAUUACAAUAAUCAGUAGGGGCGACUACACCAGAGGACUUCCAGAGAAAGAGUAAAAAAGGAAAAAACAAAACCAAAGACGAAGACCCAGUGGAAGCAGAGAGUUUCUUUUUUCUGUCAAAAACCCCCCAAUUUCAUUUACUACUAUUUCUCUGCGUGUUUUUGUGCGUGAGAAAGAAAGAAAUACUGCCCACACGGCGUCGUUUAGGGGGGACCGAAGGUGAGCUAGCUGGCUAGACGGAGACGACGAAAGCGAAGAAGAGGAAGAUAGAGGAGGAGGCGGUCGAGGAUUGUGUGUUUGGUGCGUGAUUGGAGGGGUAAAUUUGUAACUUGGCUUAAUCGAUCCCUCCACCCAUCGGAACAGCAAAGUCAAGCCCUCUCGAUCGAGGUAAUUUUCAGGCUUUUUGGGGUCGAUUUUGAUGCUGGAUCACUUGAAUUUCUCGGCUUUACUGGCUUUUGGUGAUUUAUUUUCUCUCAUUUCGGCUCUGAUUUUGCAAUUUUUGUUUUGGAUUCAUUUCUAAAUGGGGUUUUGGAGUUUUCUUUUUCUGUAGGGUUUUGAGCUGGAGCAAGGUUUAAUUUUUGAUUACGUUGGGAACGUUGGGAAUAAAUAGCGGAGGUUGUUUAAUUAAGGACUUUUUAGCGGUUUGGAGAUGGAAAUCUUUUAUGGUCAAUUCAGUUGACCUGAUAGGAAAAUAGGUGAGAAAGAGAGGGAAAUUAGGAUUUUGAGUUUUGGUUGAUUGUGUGUUUUUUUUUUGAAUUUUAAUUGAUGUUCAAAAAUAUAAUUUUGGCAAUAAUUUAAUGUAACUGGGAUUUUUCCUUUUUGGCUUUUUCAGGGUCUAAUAGAAGAUGGAUUCUUUAGUAUUUUGGUGACCAAUAAAUUUUUUUUAUGGAAAUGUAUUCUAGUCUAUUUGCGAGCUAAUCAAGUUUUCAUAAGAUUUUAAUAAAGCUAUCUAAUUUUCUUUUUAUUUUUCUGAUUUAGAUGCUCGUUGACCUCAAAUUUUUCCAUCAUGUAACACUUUUCCCUUUGGCUGUAGGGAUUUUGCAGAGUGGAAAUAUUGAAGCUGAAAUCUCCUCAUGCAGAAGAAGUAGAGGUUUUAAAGUUUGCUACUUGUAGAUUUUAUUGUACUGAGAUUUGACGGUGAGAAAAUGUUGGAGGCUCCGAAAUUUACUGGAAUCAUAGGCCUAAACAAUAACCAUGAUGAUUAUGGCCUAUCACAAAAUUUUUACCAUAAGCUCAAUGAGGGCUCGAACAUGUCAAUCGACAGCUAUGGGAGCCUGCAAAUGAGCAAUGGUGGAGGAUCUGUUGCUAUGUCUAUGGAUAACAGCAGUGUGGGAUCAAAUGAUUCACACACUCGCAUUUUAAACCACCAGGGCCUUAAGCGAGUGAACAACAACUAUUCUGUUGCUGCUAGUGUCAACCGUGGGAGGGUUUCUCACGGGUUAAGUGAUGACGCACUAGCUCAGGCUUUGAUGGAUCCUAGGUUUCCCACCGAGGGGCUUGAGAAUUAUGAUGAAUGGACUAUUGAUUUGAGGAAGCUUAAUAUGGGAGCAGCGUUCGCCCAAGGGGCAUUUGGAAAGCUCUAUAAGGGGACAUAUAAUGGUGAGGAUGUUGCAAUUAAGCUUCUUGAGAGGCCUGAGAAUGACCUAGAGAGGGCACAUUUGAUGGAACAACAGUUCCAGCAGGAGGUAAUGAUGUUGGCAAGAUUGAAACAUCCGAACAUAGUUCGCUUCAUCGGCUCAUGUCGUAAACCCAUGGUAUGGUGUAUCGUCACUGAAUAUGCCAAAGGGGGAUCAGUUCGACAGUUUUUGACCAAGCGGCAGAACAGAUCUGUUCCCUUGAAACUGGCUGUUAAGCAGGCCUUAGAUGUGGCCAGGGGGAUGGAAUAUGUGCAUGGCCUGAACCUUAUUCAUCGAGAUCUCAAAUCUGAUAAUCUUCUCAUUUCUGCUGAUAAAUCUAUCAAGAUAGCAGAUUUUGGUGUUGCUCGUAUAGAGGUGCAGACUGAAGGAAUGACUCCAGAAACAGGGACAUACCGCUGGAUGGCUCCGUAAGUCUCUCGGCUCUUUAUGGACUUAAAUUUUGUUUUUCUUUUUAGAUGAUUGCAUUCUUUGACUGGAUGUUUACCACCGUGUGAGCAAUCCUUAGAAGUUUCAGGAAUUUUGGUCUGAAGAUGGUCUAUUAUUAUGGUUAUUGCUAUAGAAGAUGUAAAGGGUAUUUACGAAAUUAUGCUUUACAUUAAUGACAAGCAGAGACCAGGGAAAUCCGAGGAUGCUUAUUAUUAGUAUAUUUGGAAAACAGAAGUGAAUGCAUUAGGGCGAUGAGGGGAAAUGUUCCUGCUACUCUGCAGUGCAUGAAAGAAGUUGUUGUCUGUUACCAGUAGUGCUUCUCAGGAAAGGAGAAAUUGGGGUAGGGGCCAAAAAGACUCUAUGAGCAGAGCUUGCUCCUUUAUGAAAUCUUCAUUUUGAGCUUCAAGGUUUUCUUGUAUUAGCAGUGCCAGAUGCUUGAAAAUGCUGCUUUUUUUUCUUUGGUUUUUUUUUUGGGGGGGGGGGGUUAUUUCGGGAUAAAAAUUUUGUAUUCUUUCUAGUCAUUUAGGACUUUUGAACUAAAAGAUGAUUUAGCAUUUUUGAAAGCUUCCUAAGAUUUGCCGAUGGCAUAGUUGCUUUUGGAUUUGGAGAUAUCCUAUAGCAUUCUUGGAAGCUUCCCAAGAUUUGCUCAUGGCAUAGUCACUUUUGGAUUUGGAGAUAUCCUAAACAUGCUAAUGUGAUGUGGUGGUGGUUGUCAUCCGUGUGAUGUUCGGAAGUUGCAGGCUGAGGUUUUCCUUAAGAGUUGACUUUCUAGUUUGUAUAUUUGAAAUUGAAGCUUGAAUUCCCUUUCACUUGGUACUUUGGUUGAUUUACAUCUCUGGGUAUUUGUUUCAUGUGGUAGUUAAUGGUCAUUGCAACACCUAAGUUUCCAAGUGGUGGAGUUGGAUGUUGGGUUAGUAGCAGCUCCCGAAGUAAAUGAUGAAAACCAGCCUUAGAGAACUUCCUAAACAUUUUUCAUGCUUGAAACAUCUAAUUGUUGUCGUCAUUGAGAUAUAGUAUUUAAUCUUUGGGGCCCCUUUUUUAUGGUACAUUGACUUGUUCCAGGUAAGAGCUGUAGAGCUUUUUCCAACCAGGAUUCGUCCUAUAUUGCUUAAUUUGUUGUGACUUAUCAAUUUGAGGGACGUUAAGUUUCUUGCAUGUCUUCUAUAUUCUUAGUAUGCUCUCCAUCCCAUGCUAUCCCAGAACAGUUUUUGUGGUCCAACUGGCUGCUUUCUAAACCAUCAAAUGUGUUCAUGUGCACUUAAAACACUAAAUCAUGACCUCAGUCAGUCAUUAUAGACAAUUUAUAGUAUGGACUAGAUUUACUUUGCAAAGCCCAAUGGUCAGAACCAGUUAUUGAGAUACUGAAUGAAAUUAUGGUAUUUCAGUUUCUCAGUCACUUCUCUUUUAUGCUUGUACAUCAUGAUAUGUUCCAGCUUUGUAGGUUCUCUCUUUAUAUGUUCUUGAGACUUGGCUUCAGUACAUUUCUGUGUAUGUUUAUCAGUUGAACCAUUCGGGAUUAAAGAAUCGUGAGGGUGACAAUCGUGUGUGAUCUUGACCAAUUCUUUGACUAAAUUGACGUUUGAGGAAAAAAGUAGUAUGCUUUAGGUUGUGGACUGGUCUCUAUAUUGCAAAAUUUUGUUGAAAUCUUUAUUCCAACAUUUCUUCAAUGGACUUGAAUUUUAAUUGUUCUUUUAUUGAUAGUUGAUGCAUUAACUAAUAUCUGUAACACUAAUGCAUGCACAGCAUCUGUGUGGUCUAUGCAAUGACUGUAACUCACCGUGCCCUGCUUUCCCUAGGUUGCAGACUGAGGGCAUUUCUGCUUCCACAUUGUUAUCACAUUUUAUAGCCAAUAUAUAGAAACUUCCCAUUAGGUUUAUGCAUUGACUAAUGCUUGCAACACUAAUGCAUGUACAGCAUCUGUUUGGUAUAUGCAAUAUGACUGUAACUCACUCUGCCCUGCUUUCCAUAAAUUGGAGACUGAGGGCAUUUUGCUUUCACACUGUUAUCAGAUGUUUAAGUUAUUAUUGUCUUGCGCUAAUUGAAGGUGAUAUUCUUAGUUUCCUCUUACUCUGGGCUGCUUGAGUGUGUUGUACUCUGGAUGUGCAGGGAGAUGAUCCAGCAUAGGCCGUAUACCCAGAAAGUUGAUGUUUAUAGCUUUGGGAUUGUUCUCUGGGAACUGAUCACAGGAAUGCUUCCAUUCCAGAACAUGACUGCUGUACAAGCAGCUUUUGCUGUUGUCAACAAGGGCGUCCGCCCAAACAUUCCCAAUGACUGCCUUCCUGUACUCAGUGAGAUAAUGACACGUUGCUGGGAUGCUAAUCCUGAUGUGAGGCCUCCUUUCAGUGAAGUUGUUCGGAUGCUUGAGGCUGCUGAGACUGAAAUCAUGACAACUGUCAGAAAGGCCCGUUUCAGGUGCUGCAUGAGUCAACCUAUGACCAUGGAUUAAUGCAGAGAGGAAAGGUGUAGAAGCGGUAAGAACAGAGUAAAGCAUUCAAAGGAAAAAAGAAAAAGAAAAAAAGCUGAUUUUAUAUCAGUUUCUGUAUGUAUCAGGCUUAAUUUCUUUCUUCAGAUAGAAAAAGGGAGGGAGGAAAGUCAUCAUAAGAACUGCUUGUUUUGUGCUUUUUUUUUUUUUUUUGCCCCUUUUACUGAUGGAUUGAAUAUGUUUAAUUAGUGCUAAUAGAGGAGGAUUGAUGUGUAUUUAUACAUAUGCCUUGUGUUGCUUUGUUUAUACAUGCCUUGUUUAGUCAUUUGCCCCAAAAGUAGUGGGCUUGAGUUUUAUUUAAUUACCAAUGCUUCCAACUCCUGAAGCCUCUUAUCUAUCGAAUUUGAGCAAACCUGGACUUACAUACGGUGUGUGCCGCUUUUCGCAUAUAGAUAGAAAGUGACUAUCAUCACAAAUGAUGGAAGUUGAAGCAUCAGUUGAUCACUUCAUUGCAGCUUUAAUUUGAUCCAGGAAACAGAGGAAGCAGGAAACCAACACUUGGUCAGAGAUACUUGCAAAUCUGAUGGUUAAUUGCAUCAACUUGGGCGCAUCUUUUGACAUUUUGGCUGUGUGCUGGAAUGGCUGGUGAAUGGUUAUUUUUCCUUUCAUUACAUUUUGCAGACUGCAGAGAAUCAAAUCCCGACAGUGGACUUUAAGAGGCCUUCCCACGGUUUAACCAGGGAAGGAAGGUUUAGGAGUUCUUCCCAAUCUUUUAACCUGCAAUUGUUUCAGGGAUUUUGGCCUUUUCAAGCUUCUGCUCUUAAUUGUCAACUCAAGUUGCGAGGAGCAUUCAACAUUCCAUGGCAGUUAGCGUGAUUUAUUUGACUCUUAAUUGCGAAUAAAAUACCAUAAAAUGAGUCCUUCCUUUUUGUUGACCAAGAAUGUUGUUGACAAUGGAGAGCAUUAUUGAGACCAGGGGGUAACAAUUCGUCCGAGUCUUGCCAUUUUACUUUUAAAAGGUAAAUCCUAUUGACUGCCCUUUAAAAGUUUUUUGGUAUAUUUAAAUAAAUUUUGGGUACUUCGUGCGGUCACGUGGUAGGUUAAAAUACAUCUAACGAGUUAAAAUCAUAAAGUGAAUCUACAAUAAAAUUUUUUUUUUCGAAAAUCUACAAUCCUAGGAAUUGUAUACAAUCCUAGGAAAGUACUAUAUAAAAUUAAAAAAAAAAAUUUUUUUUACACUUUGGUGUGUAAAUAAUGGCAAAGAGCCUCGAGACACAGACAAGAAGGAUCCAUUAUACAUAAUUGUUCCCCCAAAAAAAGGUUUUGAUUGAAGUGAUUUCUACGCAUUCUCUUUCCCUUUCUCUCAUCAACCAAGAGAGGCAGGAAUGGUUGCGUUUGCAACCGUUCUUGAAAGUUCGUGGCUAAGAUUUGGGCCAAAAAAAAAAAAAAAGAGAUCCAGAUUUUAUCUUGUACGUUAUUUUUCACAUUAUGUGUGGAACUCAUAAAAUUUUGUUUUAUAGUUAUACGUUGUUGAAAGUGAAUUAUGCCAUGUGCAGAUAAAGUUGCGCCAUUGCACGAAACCACUUCGAACGGUUUUCCUGACAACUAUUCGGCCCCUUGUCCCUCCCAUCACACUGGCAUUAGGCUUGGGUUUUAACUUAAUUGAUUCCCUUACUGCUUUCUCUGUGUUUACUUUUGAAGCUAAAACAGUAGUAAUUGAAACCAAUCAAUAUUCCAGUUUUGAACAAAACAAGCAAAGGAUAAAGGUCGGUCCAUGUUUUUACAUCCAUACGCUUCUGUAUUCUAUGCUCUCAGACUUGAUAUCUCAUUUAGUCGUCUCCAUUCCAAUUUUAGAAUGACGCAAGGAGCGUUGUUUGGCAUCACUUCAUAGUGAAGGCAAAAAAGCGUAUAUGAAACUGGAAAUGUGCUUCAAAAUUAGUCAAAACGCACUUUUCAAUUUUCAUCCCCAGGUGUGGAUCAAUUUAAUCUCUUAUGUUUUUAAUCAAGUGAAUAGUUUAUAUUUAAAAUUUUAGUGUAUAUCUUACAUUCUCGAGAUUUACGAAAUACCUAUGCUAUAUAUAAAGGGACAGGGAGGGGUUGGUGUAAAACUUUUUAUGUUCUUCUUUAAACUACCCUUGAUAAUUAUAGUAUUUACUUUUAACUUUCAAUAAUCCUUCUUCCAGCUAAUAUGUAUUUCUUAUUAUUUUAUUUUUCAACUUAUUUAGUAAACCUUAAUUUUUAUUAGUAACCAUCAAUUAUGGUUAUGAAUUACUACUAAAUAAUUAUUAUAUAUUUUAUUUUAUUGAAUUUUCUACAUAUUUAGUAUUGCAACAUAAAACUAAUUCUCUUGAAAAUGAUUUCAAAUAUAGUCAACAAUUUUGGCACAAGUUUCUUUUAUUUGUUGCACACACAUUCGUGUGUACCUUGGACAUUAAUAUAUCUAAUGCCCUCAACUAGAUAUUUAUUUUCCUUAGAUGAAUUUUUUUUUCCUUCAGUGAAUUAUACGUGUAUAAGAAUUAUUUCUCAAUUACACCUAAAAUGAGUAUUUACUGGAACAUAUGGUAAAUUUGCUUUAAAAGUUUUUUACUUAAUUUUUUUUUCUAAUAAGAGAGGGAUGAGAUUCAAAAAACAAGGGAUCAAAGCGAUUUAAAUUUAGGACGUCUAAUAAACUGAUUAAGUAAUUACCCUAGAAUAGCACCAAAAAAGUUUCUUUCAUAGGGUUUCGUUUGAUAAAACUGAAUCUGAAUUCUGAAUACUGAAAUAAUUAAUUUGCUGAAUUUUAAGUACUGAAAUGAAAUAUAUGAAUGUCUAAAUUUUAAUACUAAAUUUAUUUAUACUGCUUGAUAAAUAUUUAUAACUGAAUGCUUAAUAAGUUUAAUUUGACAAUUUUACCCUUAUAUCUUUUCAUUCAAAAAAGAAAUAGAACCUACGAUUUGAUUAGCUUAAAAUUGUUAGGUAUAAAAAUGACAAUAUUUAUUUUUAAAUCAAAUUAAUAUAACAGAUGAAAUAUAUUAUAUGAGAAGUAUGGAGAAAAUGUGAAAGUCAUUAAAAAUGAAUAAAAGAGAAACAGAAAACCGUUAGAUAGAAAAUAUCAAGUUAUUUAAUUAGAUAAGAAUUUUGAACAUAAUUAACAAACAAGGGUAGAUUUGGUAGAUAAGAUAAGGUAGUUGAAGUAAUUCUAUUAAUUCUUAUCAGAAUUAAGCAUUCAGUUAGAAUUUUUAUGCUGAAAAAAAUAUACACAAGUUCAGCACUGCUUAACAAAUUCAGCAAAUGGAUUUUCAUUUAUCAAACACUCGAAACAUUUGAAUGUCUGAAAAUGUUCAAUUUCAGCACUUUUUUAUGUUAUCGAACAGAUAGCACCAAAAUAUUAGUGGUAAAAAUCUCUCUAUUUCCAAAAUCAUGCAAUUUAGAUAUAAAGUUGGAAGAUAUCACGAAGUAGCCGGACAUAAAACACUUUCAAUGUUCAAAUUUACAAAUACUAUUGUUUUAGCAUGUACAUUUGUUGUCUCAAUCAGUAACGAUAGGCUCCGUUUGGAUUUCUCAAUUUUUUGAAAAAUAAGUUCUUCAUAUAUUAUGUUACAGUAAUAUACAAACAAAAUAACUCCAAAAACUUCACAUUCAUAUAAUAUAUACAAAAGUCUUACGAAAGGUUUUGACAAAAAAAAAAAAAAAAUAUAUAUAAUAUAUAAAAAACAACUACAAAUAUACGGAAAAAAUAUACCACCGUCAAAACACACCACUACCCGCCCACCCUUCCCCCUCUCUGCUCCCUCCUCCUUCUUUCUCAUCCUCUCUCUUCUACUUUCCUUUCUCCUUGCUUUCUUCCUCCUUCAUUCUCCUCCCUCUUCCUCCCCUCUCCUCCUUUUUCUUCUCCACGCCUCUUCCGCUACCCCUCUCCCCUUCUCCCCCUCUCUGGUCACUGGUUGCGAUUAGAGAGGGGAGAGGGUGGGAAGGAGGGAGGAGGAAGGAGAAGUAGAGUAAUGGUGGAUGGUUAUAAGAUUUUAUAAAAUUUUAAAAAUAUUUCAUUAAAAUUUUAAAUUUUAAAGAUACUUCAAAAUAUAUUUUCAAAAAAAUCCAAAAAAACAUUAUUAAAAACAUUUACAAUAGAAAUUUUCCAUUACAAUAUAUUAUUUUAAAAACACCCCAAAAACUAAUCCAGACGGAGCCAUAGUUUUCUGCAAUCAUUCCUAGGAUAUUCUCGUACUUCACAGGCCCCAAAAUCCUAGUAGGCCCUGCUCAUCCAUACAAUCAGGAACGAAUACCAAAAAAAGGUUGUAUUUUUGAGUACUAGGACUGAAGUACUGUAUAUUUAUGAAUUUGGAUGUUCCCAGUUGAAGUAUUUCUACUAUGACACUCGGAAUCUGCUUGCCAUCCUCAUUCUCAAUCUCCCCAAUACCAAAGACAAAGGGUAGUAUUACUAGCAGUUCUAUUCAUCGGUGUUUUUGUAGAAUCAACUCUUAUGAUUUUGUUGUUGUUAACAAGACUAAUAAGAAGAAGUUAAAGCCCUGCAAGAAUUACUUCUUGUAUUCAAAUUCAUGUGAUGUCAAGAUCCCUGCUGCUCAGGUAAGUAGAAUUCUGAGCUUUUCCUCUGUAAUGGAAAGAACCCUUUUCAGAUUAUGGCAAAUAUAAGCAUUUUGUUUGAUUAAGUCGCGAACCCAAUUAUACAUUUUUAUGCAUUGUUGGAAGAUUGACACUUUGUUUGCAUUGAAAAAAGCAGCUAAUUGAGCACAAAAUCUCGGGGGCCAUUUUCUUUUCUGAUUGUAAUUUCUAGAAACGGAUUUACGUACAAAAAGUUUCAAAUGGUUAACGUUGGUGCAAGAAAUGUAAUGAAAAAUUCUGUUGAAGUUUGAUGACAUUGGCAUGCUUGUCAUAGUUAUAUUGGUUUUCGUGAUUCUUGAACUGUGAAAGAAUAGAGUUUUACUGAUGAGAUCUGAAUUUGGUUGCUGGUAGUAAUUUCUUGAGCUAUAAUGUGCAUGCUGAUAAGAGCAGAAGGCUUUUGCAGUUUUACUCAGAGAGAAGAUCACCGAAAGGAUUCAAAAAAGUAAAUAUGUGUGUAUGUUAGUCUGAUUUUGGCAUUUGGAGAAUAAAGGGGACAAAGGAAAUUGGGUGAUUUCUUGUUUUAGUAAUUUUAAAAUUGGGAGGAGGCUGGGGUUGGGGUUGAGUUGUUUAUCAUUUAUGCCUCCUGUUUCUGCCAAUAAUUACUGCAGCGUAUAGAUUAUAGAACAAUACUUAGCAUUUGUUACUAUUUCUUUUUCACCUUAGAUAUUCUUAGUUUUAAUCUUUCAGAUUGGAGCUGCAGAAUUGGAAGACUCAACUACUAAAUCGGGUUUCAAGAAUUUAGUCUGGCCUUCUCCUGAUGACGAAAUCCCAUUUUGGCGUAGAGAAUUCCCCACAUGGGACGUCAACUCAGAUGAUUCUGUUAAUGCAGAGAAGGAUUCUGAUCUUUUACACAUUGUUCAUGCGACAGCUGAAAUGGCUCCUAUUGCAAAAGUUGGAGGUCUUGGUGAUGUUGUGACUGGUCUUGCUCGUGCUUGCAUAACACGUGGUCAUAAAGUGGAUGUCAUGCUUCCUUUCUAUGAAUGCAUACAGAGGCAACAUAUUAACAACUUGGUGUUGAUUAGUACAUAUGCUUCAUAUUUCAACGGAGACUGGAUCCCUACUAAUGCAUAUAGGGGCGAAGUCUCUGGAAUCUCUGUGAUUUUUAUUGAGCCAUCCAACCAUUUCUUUAAGGGACAGAGCGUUUAUGGAGGUUCAUAUAACGAGCUAGAAGCAUAUUUGUUCUUCAGCCGUGCUUGUCUUGAGUGGAUGCAGGUUAUAUGAUGGAUAAAUAUGGGUUACUACAUGCAAUAAAAUAAUUUAGUUUUUUCAAUAUAUUUAUUCUAUUUCCUUAUUCUGUAGUACUUUCCUCUUUAUCCCUAGAGUCUAUUCUCUCUGUAAAUACUCUUGUACUAAGUAGGCGUAAUAAACUCAUCAAAUAGUAUUUGAGAUUUAUGAUCAUCCUUUCUCGAGGCUCACAAGUUUGUCUGGAACUUUGUUGGAGGAAAUUAUUCUUCUUCUUUGGUCAUCUCACAGCUCUUUCCUCGAGCUUCUGAAUGUAGCUGAAUAAGUUGUUCAAUAACUGCCUUUUUAAUCAUUUUCUAUCAAAUGUCUUUCAUCAGCUAUAGCCACUAGCUUCCAUUAAAAACUGAACCUUCAUAUGCAUUUGAAUGGUUCAUUUCACACACUUGGUGGCAAGGGGAAAUUUCACAAAAGCUUCUCUUGCAGGUAACUGGAACACAGCCUGAUAUCAUUCAUGUCCAUGAAUGGCAGACUGGUGCACUACCCCUACUUUACUGGGAUAUGUACCAGGAUCUCUCACUUAAGGUAUGACUAUGGCCUCUUGCUGGCUUUAGUGUUUACCUGAUUGCAUUUUCUUAUCUUAUGGUUGCUUAAUUAUCAUGGUUUUUUUUUUUUUUUUUUUUUUUUUUUUGUAGAAACCGCGAAUAGUAUUGACAAUUCACAACAUGGAGCAUUACGGAGAAUGCAGGUUCUCUACUUAUGUUUUUGUUUGUUGUUCUGGUAAUUUGCAAAUGUGACUUUGGAAUUUGAUCUUGUAUGGUUUGGGUUAUACAAUUCUUGCUUCUCCAAGUACAAAUGCUACCCCAGUGUGAUUGAACCUUAGUUAAUUACAUUCCAUCAGUCACUUUUCAUGAUUCUCAGAAAUUCCCUUCGUAUACUCAAAUAAAUUCAGAGAUAUGUUCAUCAACUUUUUCAUAAUCUCCUUUGAGUUGGGCAAUUUGAAAGUAUUUUAUGUCAUGGAUCUUGAAGAUUUCCCUGCUCAAUAGCAUACUAUUGUUUAUUGAUUGCCAACCCCCAAUUGAAACACAACACACAAAGAAAAUUGAAAAAGCGGAAACAUAUAGUAGCAAAUUUUACAACUCUUCAUCUUUGUACUUUCUUCUUGUUUGGCAGCCAAGAGCAACUCAGUAAGUGUGGCCUUGAUGGAUCUGUAUAUGCAACUGAAGACAAGGUGUGCAAUGUGCCAUUGAAAAUGCUUUAUGCACAGAACAGUUGAUUAUGUUUUUGUUUAUAGUUUCCUUAGCAUGUAGUUCCAUUGUUCGCAUUUCAUUCUAUAAUGUUCUUUUCACUGGAAAUUCUAUUAUUAAUGCCUUUUUGGAUAAUUUACCAGUACCUUCUUUUUCCAAAGAUAUAGCUGAAGCUGCAGGUUUUACUACCAUAUGUAGGGCAUCAGGUGGUCGAAUAAUAUCUCAUCUUACUACAUCUUAAUAUAUAUAGAAUGCAAACUGACUCUUUUGGUGUUAUGUCACUUUAAUUUAUAACUAAAAUAUCCACAGCAGAAUGUUAACUACAAAUUUGAUUCCUUCCCCACUAUUUCUGCUUUAUCUUUUGAUAAUUUGAAAAUUCAAAAAAUUGAAGGACAUAGUUUUUAUCCAUGAAUGAAUGCUUCGGAUUCGUGAUCUUUCAAGGAAAUUAGAAGUACAAUGACAUACUCAAUAGUCUUUUUCUUUAACCACAGACUUAGAGUGUCCCUGAUUCACUAAUUAACUGCAAUUCCAUGUAGUUUAUCCGUUGAAUUUUCUGACAAAUAGAACUUUGAACCUCUUCCACUAAAAAAUUGCAGGCUGUUGACGAUCGUACAAUUGGUCAUAACCCUGAGAGGUUAAGCUUAUUGAAAGGAGGCAUUGUCUACAGCAAUGCAGUUGUGUACGUUGGCUAGGUCUUUGAAUGGUUUCCAUCUUGUUAUUUAUACACUUGCUGUUUCCAGUUUAGCCAUGCAGGAGAACACAUCUAUAUACAAUUUUGUUAGCACAUCGGUGAUUAUUCAUUACUCUUUGUUGUAUAUGACAAAUCAGAGAUAUACCUAGUGGGAAGAAAUGGAGAGCACAGCUUGAAUGACUAGUUUAAAACAUAGUCUCCAGAAUAAAUUGUGCCUCGGAAAGGAGAACGUAAAAGAUAACAUAAUAGCAAGAAGUCAGUUGCUAUUGAUUUUUUUCUUAGUCCUUUUUCUUGGCAGGAGACACUUAAUGGAAAACGCUAUGAACUUGCUUAACAAGAAUAAAUCUUAAAUUGAUUGCUCCUUUAUCUGGGAUUUUUUUUCUAUUAUCUGGGAUAUUACAUGUUUGAUUGAAUUGUAACCAAUUGUACUUAAAUUGUGUCUAACACUUUGAAUAUUUCUUGAACAAGCACAGCAAAAUUUGAAAUACUGGGUAUAUACUGCAUAAAUAGGUUGCAAGUGUUGAAUUGUGUCCGUUGCAUAAGUUAGCUAUUCUUGUUCUUCAUACUAUAUGUUGGUUUUAAUUUGGGAAUAUUUCAGUCAUUUACAAAUCCUAAAUUUUAUUAAAUCUCAAUUGCAAGGAAGAAAACUUGAUGUCUUCUGUUUCUUCAAGGUAUUGCAUGAAUUAUCCACUAACAUAAAUUGGCCUGGGUUGAACGGCAUGCGCCACAGCAAGUUCUGACUCAGUUGGAUUUGACUGGGGUUAUACUGCAUUAGUAUAUUGCAAAGAUUGUGGCUAUGGUAGCUCAUUAUAUGCUAAGCUGGAUACGAAUAUUUUCCAAAUGGGCAAGGAGGGCAUACUUUAACAAGUUUCCUUUGGAUGUUAUGGAAACUAGAAUUACUUAUAGUCAUUUUCCAGGUACUUGUUUAAAUUAAUAAGAAGUAUAAUAGAAGGGAAGCUGGGCCUCAUUUCUGUACUCAGCAACUGGAAUAUGACUGUAAAUUUUCAGGUGUUAGCAUUAACUUUGACGAUUGCUUUGUUAGUUUUUCUGUUACUCAAUUGUGUAUUGACAGUCUUUCUUAAUGAUUAAACAACUUUUAAGAUGGAUUCAUCACAGAAUAUGUUACUAUUUUUUCUGUUCAAAAAACUUAUGGUUCUUUGGCUAGUAUGAAUUGAGUUUGCCAGAAUUUUGAAGGCUUAGCAUAUAGAUUAGCCUUAGUUACAAUCUCCAAAACUUAUAAGUAAUUCAAGGAGAUCAAAAUCCACUGCAAGCAAUAAAAAGAAAUAAAGGCAUUUUGAGGGAUAUUGUGAUCUUUACAUAUUGCAGGACUUGUAGCUUAAUAUGACGCAUUCAUCAUUAUCUAGAGUUUUUUUAUAAUGAUUAUUUAAAUUAAGGUGAAAAUUGGAUGAAAAUUUUCAGAUAAAUUUAGUCCUAUACUUUUGAAGAACUUUGAGCUAAAUUAUCUAUAUAUUGAAAGUUUUAUCUUUUGUACUAAAUUAAAAAAGGAAAAGGUUUAUCUGUGGAAUGCUGGAGUCAAAAUUGCAUUAGCUUAUGCACACACAGAGCAAAAAAUGAUUAAUUUGAUGAUUCUCAUUUUAAUUUUCAGCACAGUCUCCCCGACAUACUUAAAAGAAACACUGUGUUCUGGAUGGCUUGCUAGUACCUUGUUAAGGAACCGUGACAAGUAAGUUAUCUUCCUGCUAUGGCAUUUUCAGGGGUUAACACAGUUACAUGAUUAUUAAUUUAUUAACAAAAGAAAAAUAAUUUUAUUAGACAAAUAUGUGAUCUUUGGAACUAUAAGGGGAUGUUAUUUCUUGCUACAUUUACAAUUCAUUCCGUGAUGAUGAGAAAGUGUUUCUUGAGUGGACUUCCCUGUAUGAACCAAUGUUAAUAAUUCCAAUUCUGAAGAACUAAGAUAAAUUUGCAAAUGUGUAUUGGGCAAUCACUUUACACAAUUAGUGUUAAUAAGUUUAUGAAUAUACUUCUCUGAAGUCGACAAAGACUGAUGCCAUGCAACUUCAUGUUCCAUCUUCCAUGUUAGACAUUACUAAGUACAGAUCCUUAAAGAAAAUAAAAUAGUCAGUUGAAAUGACCAUAGGAGACUCUAAUGUCUUUGUUACUUGCUUAAGUACACUUUACAUCUCAGCAGUGUCAUUGUUAUAUUUUGCAUCAUGUCACAUGAUUUUUGGAUGAGUUCUCUUGAAUUCCCCAUUAAUUGUCGGACAAAUUCUGGUUGGUUGACUGUGACACUUGGACCUCAUGAGCAUUCAGAGAAUGUAGGAAAAUAAAAGUAAUGCUGCUGAUCAUUCAUUAUCCUUUAUAUCUGCGACUUUGUCUAGGUCCUCAAUUGUUUGGAAGAACUCUGUUGUGCUCCCAAUUUGUUUAGGCUAUCAUUGGUCGAUGAGCCAAGACAAUGGUCUUUCAUGAACCUUUGAUGUUUUUGAAGAAUUAUGCUGGUGGUUACCUGAUAACUCUUGUCUCUGACUUCCAACAGACAAAAUAGAAGGUGAUCCUUACCAUCCCUUGUGGGAGCUGACCAGAUCAAAAGUUGUCUUUUCAGAAAACAUGAAAACUAUCCAACAUAAAGCAAAGUGCUGAUUGGCCACCAUUUGUUAUGGUUAGCGUGCAUACAAGAAUAUAUGAACUUAUAUGAGCCAGUUGUCUAUGUUUUCCAUGUACUGUGUGCUGGCUCAAGUUUACUCAGACAGGUAGCAUUGUUGCUAUGCCAUUUUCCUGCAUACUUGAUUAUGGAUUUUAAUGAUGUUAAAGAAAAUUAACUAAUGUCACCUGGGGUAGAAGAUGGAACUUAUCUUUGUAGGAGUUCCAAUAUUUUGCGAAACUAUGAAUGUUUCGUGGGGUAAUAAUUAAUACACUAGAAUCGGACUGCAUUAGCUACUUAGUCCAAGUAGUCGAUCUCUAAUUUAGCUUGUCAUCUCUCUGUCACUGUGUAUUCGCAUAAAAGUUCUGUUUUCAUUUGACAAACCACCAUUUACAUGCUUUGUUCUCCUGUAGGUACUCUGGUAUUUUAAAUGGAAUAGACUCUGCAAUGUGGAACCCUGCCACUGAUGUUUUCUUGCCUGCUAAAUUUGAUGGUAAUGAUUUUGUGCCUAGGAAGUCCUAUAGUGUUUAUCAUUGUAAUUUCAUACAUGAGCUCAUUGUAGGCGACAGUAGCCAUCAGUUUGUAUUUUUUUUUAUUGGCCUAGUUGCAAGUAUAGCAAACGAUGAAAAAUGAAAAGCUCUUGGACUGCAGUGAGACCACCAGAAUUGCAUGUGCCCAAAAGAAAAUGUUUCCAGAUGAGUAGAAUUGUAUUUUCGAUUGGUAUUUCAGGGUUAGUUGGUUAUUUCUAUGCGUUUUAUUUGUCAAUUUGUGUUUACUAUUGAUAGAGUUGGUGUUAGGUUUGCUUUCACCAUUUUUUAACCUAAUCUGGGAACUUUAUCCUGAGCUUCUGUAGGGAUCUCAAUUUUUUAUUCAUUUUAUUUCUAGGAUUUUUAGACCUUUCCUAUUGUACUUUACUUAAAGAGUGUUACUUUACUUAAAGAGUGUUAUCUGGUGAUUCAAUCUCUUUGUGGCAUUAAGAAGUCGUUUCUGACGUUUGCUGCAUAUUUAACAUAUAUAAUAUAUGCACAAGAAGGCUGUGGUCAAUUGGGCAUCAACGAUGGCUCACCUCCAACUCAUAUCUCUUAACAUUUGAAAAUUGCAUGUUGCACAGCAUGAUGCCAUGAAGGAACUCUUCCGUUCUGUCCUUGCAUCUGCUGUCAAUUAUGUGCACUCUGAAUUUUCUGGGCUUUUCUGAUUUCUUUUGUUCAUCUUUGUGACUUUGUCUUUAGCUGAGAACUUUCAAGGGAAGAAUGUAUGUAAACACUUCGUUCAAAGGGGACUUGGUUUGGCUUUGGAAGGCACCAGCUCAGGUUCUGACCGGGUGCCUUUGGUUGUCUGUGUUACUCGAUUGGUUGCUCAAAAGGGUCUUCAUUUAAUUACCCAUGCCAUCCAUAGGGUUGAUGAACUUGUGAGCUCCCUCUCUCUCUCUCUCUCUCUGCAUGUUAGGUGGCUGGUGGUGAUGGGUGUACUGUUAACUAGAAAUCACAUGGCCCAUUGAACACAUCAUAUUCUAUUUCUAGUUUCUCAUCAUCUAAAUAAGCUGUAUCUGGAUGGUGCAUGCAAUCCUAUACGUGGAACAGAUGUAUUGAUUGAUGUAUCCAUCAUAAAUGCUGUUGCAUCACAAUCUGAUUCCUUGUCCAAUUAUUAAUAACUGCAAAACUUGCAUUUUUUCUAGUUGUACAUGAUUAGCUGUUUGCUGAAAGUGUUGGACCUCAAUGAAAGUUUCUAAAAAACCUUACAUCAGUGGCUUGUAUGAUGAAUCAGUAUGCACUAUAGCCAGCAGCUUGCAUGACAAAUCAUAUAUGCCUGUUAUCCUUUGUAAGUUUUCAAGGUUUAUCUAUAUCCACUCCAAUCAUUUUAAAUGACAGUACAAGCAUGCAUCCUUUCAUUUGAGUUCUUCUGGUAAACAUUUCUAAACUAUCUUGCAUAGGCUAGUUGGUGAAAAUAAGUCUACAGCUGGUAAUUCUAGUUUCCUCUGCUAGUUCUCUCUUACUUUUCUGUGUUCUAUUGAAAUAGUUGUUUGCGAACAAGUGUCAUGAAAACUGCUAUUUACUUUUGGUUACAAGCAGGAAGUGGUAAGUCUAUGGUUGCUAUUUAUCCUUUGUAAAUCUACAACGCUGUCCAAAGAUGUUGGUAAGAUAUUAACUAACAAUAUCAUUUUUGUUUCCAUCUUUUGUAGGGCGGACAGAUGGUAGUGCUUGGGAGAGCCCCAGAUGGUCGGGUACAGAGAGAAUUUGAAAAUCUUGCAAAUUUGGUAAGGGAUUUAGAGUAAUUUCCAGAUUAUCUUUUCACUUUUGGAAGAUUAGAAAUAAAGUCCCCUUCCCCCCCCCCCCCCCCCCCCCCUCCAACAAACCCAAAAAAACAAAAAAAAAAGCAGAAAUUGCUGAAAGUCAUGUAUCUUGUUCCUGUACGCUUGCCUUAAGUGUCUUUGUGUUUUUUGGGAACCUGUGCUUGAAAGUGCUAUUGUCUUUUCAAGAUUUUUUUGACAAUCUAGUAGAAAAUGAUUAUGAUAUGGUAGAAUGUUUGAACAAUUAUUUCUCUGUGUAUAGCUUUAUGCGAGUUUGCACAUUCUUGAGAUAUAGCUUUCCAAAGGCGCAAAGUGAUGUCAGCUAGAAUGCUACAAGAGUAGAUAGUGAGUUCUACAGAAAUUCUGAAAAUUUUCAAUAGUAUUUGUGACAUUUCGGCUGUAUAAUGCAGUAAAAUUGUAACCCAUACUCUGCUUAGCAGAUAGUGCAUUGAAAAGACGUCUUUGGAAAUUAUUCAUGGAUUCCAAUUUUUUAAUUAUGAUUUGCCUUUACAGUAUUAUUCUGGUGAGUUGACAAGAAAGAGUUUUCUUUCUUGCAGUACAACCAAGGCUCCGGCAUUAGGAUUCUUUUGAUGUACAGGUGACAGUUUUCAGGAUGAAGCUUCUUGCUUUACCCUUGUUUAAGAAGUUGUAAUAUGUUUUGCAUACUUGUUCCAUCUGGAUGCAUGUUGAAAUCUUUACAUGAUUAAACAUAGUAUUACUCUGGCCAAAGUAAUUUUCCACUAAUAGUGUUUAAAAAAACAUAAAAUGGCUAGAAUGCCUCUUAUAAUGAUAUUCCCCUUGUGGGGUCUGCAAUGUGCAGUGAGGAGCUAUCACACAUGCUUUAUGCAGCUGCAGACAUGGUGUUGGUCCCUUCGAUGUAUGAACCAUGUGGGCUGGCUCAGAUGAUUGGAAUGCGUUAUGGGGCGGUACAUACUUCCUUAUUAAUACAAAAUAGACAUGCUUUGAACCUUAUACUACUUAAGUUGUUGACAAGCAUUUAAUGGCAACUUGAAGGGCUGGAUGCACAUCAAUUUCUGAGUACUCCUUGAGAAUUUCUUUGAAUACUAACUAAAACUCGGUAAACACACUCUUAAUUGGAAAGCGGGUUAAGAGGAUUUUGUGGUUUUUUCAGAUCCCUGUAGUUAGGAAGACUGGUGGUCUUGCAGAUACAGUCUUUGACAUAGAUCAAGGAUCACAACCUGAGUUGGCUAAUGGGUAAGUUAUCAGCCGUGUUCUUCUUGUGUUUGAGUAAACAAAUUUGUCAUCGUUUGAACUAAGCUUUUUCUCUUCCACAAUGCUCGGUAAGUUUAAAUGCUACAGCUUUUGUUGUGGACCUGUUUGCUGUUGUCAAAUAUCUAAUUGAGCUGAAAUGUUUUCAGCUUCCAGUCCUCCCCUUCAUAAGAUAAGAAGUUUUAAUUACAACUUCCAGUAAAAGGAAAUUUGAUUUAAAUUAUGCUUGGCAAAACUGCUUUUAUAUUCAUGCAGACACACUUACAUGCUUUUUUUCCUCUCUAAAAAUGAUUUAUAUUUUGCUUCGAUACUGGUUUUCUGUGAAGAAUGAUGGUAAAUUGCCAAAUUAACAAGUACUACUAUUUCAUGUUCAUGAACAUAAGUAUUGUCUUCUAAAAUGAAGUCAACAAGGGGCUAUCUUGAACUUGCUGUAUUAGUAAAAUUUCCCUUAUACGUCUUUCCUUUGCAUUGUUCAUAUGAAACGAGAUCUGCUUUAUCUGCUCCAAAAAAUCAAAUUAAUGCCUAUCCAUUUUUUGAGCGUUUGAAUUGGAUAUCGCAUUUAGUUCAACGAGUCCAGUACUGUGUAGUUUUCUUUUAUUAGCUGUCUUUUCUUUCAUUUCUUAGAUUGUUGUUCCUCAUUUUUUGGUUGAAGUAUUUUUUUUCUUCUCAUUGUUGGCCUGAAUUUUUAAGGGUUUGAGGGCUGUCUUCUGGUCUGACAUAAUCUUUGCAGUUACCACUAAGAUUGAUGAAAAAUAUAAUGGUACUUGGUAAAUAGUAGAUCUUUUCUCCUUGUUUUCAGUCACCUACACUAUUCCCCUUGAAUUUAGGUCCCGAGUCAACUUUUGUCUUUCUUCUUUUGAUCUUGCUACUCUAGUCUGUUUAUGCUAGGAUACAUCUUCUGCUUCAACAAUCAUAUUAUAGAAUUGGCACGAUACAGUGACUCGGGUGUGAGCACUAACUCAAAACAACUUCUCGGAACAUGAACAGAAGGCCAUAAUGCUGAAAUUUCACACUCUAUAUAGACAUGAAUAGGCCCUGAAUUUUGACCAGAACUUUUAUACUCAGAUGUAUUUGUUGUGUAGGUUUGUCUUUGAAGGAAUUGAUCAAGGUUCCCUAAACUGGGCUCUGGAUCGUGCAUUUUCAUCCUACCGAGAAAGUGAGUGCAUUUAGUGGUGUUUAUAUGCAACCUGUAAUAUCUGCAGUUUAAGAUUUUAGACAACUGCUGCUUGGGAUGUAAUCUCACUCAGCUUUUUUAAUGCAGAACCAAAUGAAUGGGCUACGACUCUACAGAAAGUAAUGAAGGUAGAUAAUAGCUGGAACAAGACAGCAGGACAGUACAUUGAUCUGUACAACACAUUAAGAGUCAAGUGGUAAUUAUCCUUCCAAGUCUCUCUCGUGGUGUAAAGGAAGGAUCUCUAUUUGUGUCAUAUAGCCUCUCUCGUUGAAGCUCUUUUUGGCUUGUCCUUAUUGUUUCUAACUCUUAGACGAGGUUUUUUGCGCUGUUGUUAAUAGAACACCUAGCGCCAUACAAAAGUUUCAAUAAAACAGAUGAAUAAAGGACUUUUCUCUCACAUGAAACCACAAGCGAAAAUGAAUCUGACAUUUUCGAACCUCAUUUCCAUACAAUUACAUUGUUGGAGACUGCAUUUUGUCAGCUUUACAAAUUUCAAUUUACGUAGCCACUGAAUUUUGACCCUGGAGUUCCAGGAUGGCAAGCUUGUACGAUAAGGGGGCAACAAUCUAACUCUUUAAAAUGUAGGCAAACACAUGAGAAGUGGAAAUUGCCUCUUUAAGGGGGCAGGGAGGGGGAAAUGAAUGUCUUUCAAACUUCUAUAUCCUUGCCUUGUGCUUAAUUCACUCAACAGGAAAAUCUCCUCCCUCACUUGUACCCUCAAAGAUGAACAAUUGACAAACAAUAAAAUCAGGUUGCAAACGUACAUGUAGAACAAAAACUUAGUUUAGCCAUCCUUCAAACAUCAAAAUAAGAUGCCAGUCCUUGUUGCACAAUGACAAACUUCCUGAAGUUAGUUUAUGGUAUUCCAAAGCAAUACAGUCCUUGUCGGACUCUAGAGCACAGAAAAAGAUAAACCUAGAUUGGAAAAAAGAGAUCUGGACCAUCUGGUUAUUUUACAAGAUCAGCUGUCAAAAAGAGGGUACUCAUUAGGCUCCUGUAACAUAAUGCUGUAUUUCUUCAUUCAACUGUCACCAAUUUGGGGAUUUUACAGACUUUACUGCGCAGCAGGUCAAAAUAAUUGCUUUUCAGAGAAAGAGAAGACUAGACGUACAAACAGUAAGCAUCAGUGUGUGAACUAAACACACUUCCAAAGAAACAUCAGAUUUAACCACCUUCAUAUGCCUGAUGCCACCUACAUCAUAAGAGACCUGCCAAAGUAAUAAACGGAAAAAAAAAAAAGAAAAAAGGAGAGAGAGAGAGAGAGAGAGAGAGAGAGAGAGAGAGAGAGAGACGGAAUCAGGAUUUGAAAUUUUCUCCCUGCUCCUCCUCACCCCCAACAACUUCAUUGUACAACCAACUACUUCAAACAAUCAACAAAUAUGUGAGCGAGAGAGAAAGGAGAGAAGAUGAGAGAUGGUCUGUCUGAGGUAAACGAAAUACCACCUUAAACGAUCACAGUCAGUGACGUCCAGUCAUAUGACCAUUGCAGCAGCCAAAAUAACUACACCUAAUUCCAUCCGGUUUAUAACAUCAUUCUUCCUGCUAUCCAUCUCGGACCAAUAUGAACUACUCCAACUCUGUUUUUGGUAGCUUCUUACUACCGUCCAAGUUCAGAGUAUCAGCCAGGUUGUCUGACAGUUGAUUAAUUGGAUCAGCAAGAGCAAUAGUAGAGUUUCCUGUCACACUAGCUCGUUGCUUUGCCUUCUUUUCCAACAAGGCUUUCUCCCGCUCAUCAUAGAAUGUAAAAUCAUCUAAAAGGGAUGUAUCAGCUUCAUAGUCCUUGAAAAUCUUAAGCAUUUCAAUUCCAUGCUCAAGUUUCACCUGGAUAGAAAUCAGUGGUUAGUCAUAAUGGGAAAAUAGCAAAUUCAACAAAAUAAUUUAAAGCAGUUACUAGGAAGGAUCAAAACUUUGAAAAACUUGCUAGAACUCUCAAAAGUAUCAAGCUUUGUCUGUAACCUCUAGAAAGAUGGAUGACAUUUAUCUCAACAUCCCAAAGGGCCUAUACAAGACCCACAUGUCAAUGGUGACACAAAAACCAAAGACAAGUAGAUCAAUUAGUGUUUUCCACCCAUGCUCGGAAUUUUCUUGAGCAAAAAAGAUGCUGUUUCAAAACCAUGUCUAAUUCUUUGUGCUCAUUACAAAUUUUGGGACGGUAGAGGUGGGGGAAGAGGAGAUAAAUAAGAUGUAACUCUAAUUUAAGGGGAUAAUUCAAAGCUCAACAGCUUCAUACUCAGAAACACAAUUUCAGGACACAAGUAAAACAAAUACAGAACCCCUCACCUCUUGAGAGUCUCGACUGUGAGUAACAGGCUUGUUGUCAUUAUUUUCAAGAAGUAUGUGGCGGAACCGACUAUUGGGCACAUCUUUGACAACAUGCCAUUUCACAGGGAACUGCCCGCUCCACCUAUCCUGCUGCCAGUACUCCGCAUCAUUUUCAAAAUCAACAGGUCCAACCAUCUCAGCUAUCCCACAAAACUGUCCACUAGCAUUUACCUGAAGGAUACAAAUAGUACAUCGGCAAAAGGUCUUUAAACUAUCAAAUUAAUGCCCAGGGUAAGGUUGAGGCAAUGAAAAAGCUAUGUAUCUAGUAUAAUUAUAAAAAAAAUAAAUAAAUACUGUUUACAUUCAAUAAGGUCACUUUUGGUUACACGUAGUGAGUUCAUUCUUCCAUUAGCCGAUUCACAAUGGAUCUUGGUCAUUGAUGUGUAAGUUACACGACCUCACAAGUCCCCAGACCAUCUAUACAAAUAUUUACAGGUGUUUUCCCUAUCAGCAGGUUAAAGGCAAAAUUGCCACCACUCACCAGAAUGUUGGUUUAAAACAGCCCCUGUACCUAUUAACAAUGACCCAGCUUCCACCAGCAACUUAUUCUGAACUCUCUAACUAAAUGCUCCUUGUUCAUAUUCCUCAAAGUUGCUUUUCACUGCUUCUCAUGAACUUAUGUAUCACAUUACCUAACUUACAGUUAUAUGAAGAGAGGGACGCGGCAGAGGGGGGGGGGGGGAAGGGGGCGGAGAGAGCAUGAUCACAGAAUAUGAUUAUGAAGUGUCAGCAAAAAGGUACGAAUGUUGCUUCUAAAUGGAGACAGUAUGCAACCAUAUCCCUAUCAUCAUUCUGUUUCGUUGGCAUGAUGAACGCAACCUCAAGGCAGAAAAGAUCAAAUGGCGGAAACCAAACCAGCGCUUCACAUAAAUCUGAUCCAGAUGCUCAAAAACAUAGCCGAGAAAAAAAGGAAGACCGGGAGUUGCCUGUCAUGUCCUUAUGCUUCAUGAUAAGCAGUCUCAAGCUUUCGGUUCCAAGUGGUGUGGCUAGGCCAAAUGCCAUAACUUAAUUGCUCUUAGUGAACAUUAUCUUCACACUGAAAACUUGAUCACACAAAACUUGGCAUAUCUGGCAAUGAUCAGUACCAGGAGAACUCUGGCUUUGUACAUUGGUCAAGUCUGAAGCCAGAAGUAGCAGUCGAACAUCUUUACGUAUCCAGAUAAAGCAUUCUCUCAGCAGAAGUUUUUGCUCUUGUUGGGCUUUGAGGAGCCGCUAGUCCCUACUUUCUUAUACUAUGAAAUUCCUAAAGAAUCAUUAGAGUAGUUCAGAGCGUCCUAUUUCUCUAUCACGUUCCUCCUUACUACGACCGCCGUCUGCCGCUGGUUAUCCAGCUGAGAACUGGGGAACCGUGUAGGCAUAAUUGUCAUGCCCUGGGUAAGAGCCAGUGAUGUGGUAGAUGGUUGGCAGAGUGCAGGCUUGACGCUAGGCCCCCAGUCAACUUGAUUGUGCCUGCAAUCCAAACAAUUAAUUAACUAGAAUCAAGUGGUUCAGAAGCGAAAUCGCGAGGCCAAGUAGUUAAGCAAUUCAACAGAAAAGAAAAAAUACAAAGAGAAAGAAACAAAUUGAAAGUUGAUCUAGUUGCAGCUUUGAACAAAAAGUGCAGGAUGGCAUUAUAAAGAUGACAAAUAUUUCAACCUUCCAAAUAAAAAAAAAAGAUAGGCAAAAUUAAUAAACUAAAUUAGCAUAGACCUUCAAAAGGAAAGUAAGACAAAAUUAACAAACUAAAUUAGCAUAUCUCAUGUCAUUCGUUUGUCAGAUAGACAUUUUACAUACUAAUAAACAUGUAGCCAACAAUUACAUUUUACAUAUUAAUAAACAUGUAGCCAACAAUGUGUAAGGAAUAAAAUCUUUAAGCAACUAUGAAGAUGCAUUCUAGGAGUGCAGAAUGCUCAAUAUUUCAGGAAAAGAAAAGAAUUUGAAUGACGUUACUGAUGCAAUUGCCUGCCGCUAGUUUAACCACAAAAUGUAGAUGGCAUAGUCAUUUGGACAUGUGAUUUAAUUUUUUUUUAAAAAAAGAAGAGCAUGGGGCUAGACGCAGACCACCCUUUCAGACAUAGAGCAAUAGUGCAUUCUGCUUUUAAAUAAAUCCAGCAAUGACUGUCAAAAGAUUAUUACUCAACUACUAAAAUUUGUAAACUUCCAAACUUAUUCUGUUGGCAACAAACUCAAGAAAUAAGAAUAGAAAAAAUUCCGGCAAUGGUGGAGCACAAAGUAUCAAAAAUAUCAAGUACAAACAAGCAUCCUGGAUGCUACUUUUUCUUAGAUAUUCUUGUCACUUAAACAAAUACAUUUGAGUAACCAAUAAAAAUAGGCUGAUUAAGAUUAAGUCAAGUCAAGAAAUGAAGAAAAGAAUACAUGAAACAUGAAUAAUGCCCAAUUGCAAUGAAUUAUUUCAUGAACAAGAAGAGUUAUUCAGCUUCACGUCAUGUAAAGUUUACAAGAGGACAAGAAAUAUAUUUAAAAAACAAUAAUUGAUAUCAGAAAAAUAGUUCCAAUUAUUCUUCUCGCAGAUAUCACUACAUAGAAUCAAGGAGAUCAUGAGACAACUAACCUGAGCAAGAUUUUGCUCAUAUGGCCCAAGAAUGCCAAUUGGCUGUGGAUAUACCGCUCCUGAUGUUAACUGAGACAUGUACCUGCUUGAUUCCAGGGAACUUGAUUGAUUUGAUAAUCCUUCAGCAGACCCAAAAUCGCCUGGGAACUUAUAGAAACCAAGGCUACUAUUUCCAGAAAGGUCCCCUCCCCCAAAAGAUCCAAAAGGUACAUAGAAGCCUGAACUUGGCCCAAAAAGUGCAUUAUCAACUAAGCUUUCUUGUCCACUAGUUGCUGGUGCCAUUAGAUCAGUCUGUGAGACUGUAAGAGCUGAACUAACAUGUGGUAGUCCAGGUGAAACUGCUGGAAAAUAAGGUGGUGUCACUGGGAUCUGGUGCGGAGAGUAAAACUGGCCAUCAAUCAUUAUUGUGGAGAUUGGACUCGGAAUGGGAGAGAACUGUCCAUAUGCCAUCUGGGUGUCAUAGCCAUAACCAGGAGGGAAAAAUAGUGAUGGAUUUUCAUUAUACAUUCCCUACAUGUAGCAAAAUACCCAAUUUCAUAAACAGAAUAAAAAAGUCUGUCUCAUGCCUCUGUGCAUAAUUAGUCAAGGCAACAAUAUCAAAUUGAUGAAACUCACUGGAGGUACAACAUGUAAGCUGUUAGGAUUAACAUAGUUAGAAUGCUCAUCCCAGUUCCCAGUGCCAUUGUCAAGACCUGAACCAAGGAAAGAUGAAUAAUGAGUUUUAAGUACAACAAAAAAAAUGAUGAACAAUGAAAACUUUAUGUACAUUGGAGAAAAGUACAAGGAACCAAAAAAGCAAAACACAUGCCAAACUAACAAACAGUGAUUCAAAGAUGUGGAAGUUGAGAAAAAUUGGUACACUACAUAUCAGUACUAAAGUAAUUAAGCCCAAUAUUCACCUCAGUAUUACAGUUUCAAACUCGUGACAUGUUGACCAGAACCUUCACAAAGAGCAUAAGAUUCACAAAUUUUAUGCUGCUGAAACCCCAUGAAAAUAUUAAGCAAGAGGGAACAACACCCCUCUCUUGCAGCCAUAAAAAGGAGCAAAAAUAAUUGUAACACCCACAAAGCAAUACAACGCCCCAUGAAAGAAUGGCAGAUACACACAGUUCAACACAGUCGAAAGCUCUGUCAUGAGAACAGAACCAACAAAGAUAUCAUGUAGCCCACAUGUAUGGUCAGAGAAACGUUGAGAAGAAGACUAUAGCUGCUAAAUCAGCAAGAACAGCACUAUAAAAGGACCUAACCUCCAAAGUAAAAACUUUGUUCAUGCGGCACAUCAAGUGGAUGCACAGUGGUAAGAGCUCCACUCUUAUCCAAGGGAACAGGCUGAUCUUUGGCAUUUCUUGGAGCCCCUGAGAUGGCUGCAUCCGGAGAAGGAUUUGCAGAAAUAAUCCUUUCAUCUUUGGGCGAAAGUGGCUGAUAAUAGAUUGAAAAGGAAGUACUAAUAGACCUAAGCUAAUGGAGAAUUAGAGAAACAAAAGAAACACAGUACAAUCAUGAGUUAUAUGGAUUUACCUGUUCUGUCACAUUAUGCAAUUCAAUAGCUCGCUCCCCUGCAUUGAAACCAAAAAAUUCAUAAAGCAACCACACACUUAAUUGGUCAAGUAAGAAAGCAUGAUACCAUUCUUAUUUUCCUCUUUCUUAUCUAUUGCAGUGUGGGAAAGAAUAUUGACCUCAUUCCCACUUUAAAAUCAUCAAGAAUAUAAGUAAUACACCAAUUAUUUACCAGUAAUACAACAGACUAAGCAACCAUUAAGAAACAUUUAGUCUCAAAACGAACAUGUCAUCCCCAGAAGCAUUAGGUACAGGACAUAUAACAAUUGCAAAGUUUUCAACUGUUGAACAAAAUCACCAUGUCAUUAAUAGAUUCCCAACAUCCGCUUAUACAUAAAAGGGCCAUCUGCACAAACUCCACGUUGGAAACAUCCCCCCCCCCAAAACACAAUUCCCAUUACCAAAUAAUAGGGAGGUGGGAUUUAGUAAUUCUAUUAUGCCUGACUGUAAGAGAUUCCAAGAUUAGGCUAAGCUUUCAUCAGAAUGGGGACAAACAUGUGAUAAUACAAGUUCGACGAGAAAAAGCACCGUUUACUUUUUCGGCACACAAAAACAUCUUUCUGAUAAGGGCACAUCAAUCAAGAAAUUUUCUGCUGAGACCUUUCUGAGUAAACUUAACAUACAUGCCACCUUUCCACAUUUACGAAUACUACUGUUAUCACCUUUCCAGGAAAAGAAGCAUGCCAGCGAUAUUAAAACACCAUAAAUGAUCCUCAUUCUAUCUUGAACCCUAAUCAGCAUGCCAACGAUAAGCUUUUUUAAUGCAGAACCAAAUGAAUGGGCUACGACUCUACAGAAAGUCAUGAAGGUAGAUAAUAGCUGGAACAAGACAGCAGGACAGUACAUUGAUCUGUACAACACAUUGAGAGUCAAGUGGUAAUCAUCCUUCCAAGUCUCGUGGUGUAAAGGAAGGAUCUCUGUUUGUGUCAUAUAGCCUCUCUCGUUGAAGCUCCAACCGUGCUCUUUUUGGCUUGUCCUUAUUGUUUCUAACUCUUAGACGAGGUUUUUUGCGCUGUUGUUAAUAGAACACCUAGCGCCAUACAAAAGUUUCAAUAAAACAGAUGAAUAAAGGACUUUUCUCUCACUUGAAACCACAAGCGAAAAUGAAUCUGACAUUUUUUAACCUUAUUUCCAUACAAUUACAUUGUUGGAGACUGCAUUUUGUCAGCUUUACAAAUUUCAAUUUACGUCGCCACUAAAUUUUGACCCUGGAGUUCCAGGAUGGCAAGCUUAUACGAUAAGGGGGCAACAAUCUAACUUGAUUCGUUGCCUAACCAACCACUAGCUGCAAAAAUGAAAAAUGUAGGCAAACACAUGAGAAGUGGAAAUUGCCUCUUUAAGGGGGCAGGGAGGGGGAAAUGAAUGUCUUUCAUACUUCCAUAUCCUUGCCUUGUGCUUAAUUCACUCAUAAGGAAAAUCUCCUCCCUCACUUAUACCCUCCAAGAUGAACAACUGACAACAAUAAAAUCAGGUUGCAAACGUACAUGUAGAACAAAAACUUAGUUUAGCCAUCCUUCAAACAUCAAAAUAAGAUGCCAGUCCUUGUUGCACAAUGACAGACUUCCUGAAGUUAGUUUAUGGUAUUCCAAAGCAAUACAGUACUUGUCGGACUCUAGUGCACAGAAAAAGAUAAACCUAGAUUGGAAAAAAGAGAUCUGGACCAUCUGGUUAUUUUACAAGAUCAGCUGUCAAAAAGAGGGUACUCAUUAGGCUCCUGUAACAUAAUGCUGUAUUUCUUCAUUCAACUGUCACCAAUUUGGGGAUUUUACAGACUUUACUGCGCAGCAGGUCAAAAUAAUUGCUUUUCAGAGAAAGAGAAGACUAGACGUACAAACAGUAAGCAUCAGUGUGUGAACUAAACACACUUCCAAAGAAACAUCAGAUUUAACCACCUUCAUAUGCCUGAUGCCACCUACAUCAUAAGAGAACUGCCAAAGUAAUAAACGGAAAAAAAAAAAAAAAAAGGAGAGAGAGAGAGACGGAAUCAGGAUUUGAAAUUUUCUCCCUGCUCCUCCUCAUCCCCAACAACUUCAUUGUACAACCAACUACUUCAAACAAUCAACAAAUAUGUGAGCGAGAGAGAAAGGAGAGGAUGAGAGAUGGUCUGUCUGAGGUAAACGAAAUACCACCUUAAAAGAUCACAGUCAGUGACGUCCAGUCAUAUGACCAUUGCAGCAGCCAAAAUAACUACACCUAAUUCCAUCCGGUUUAUAACAUCGUUCUUCCUGCUAUCCAU
rnacentral:lncRNA from 1 species